rnacentral:lncRNA from 1 species
UUUUUUUUUUUUUUUUUGUAUAUCUCACAUUUUCUCAAGUGUCAUGAUAGGUAGUCUAAAGGCACAUUAUUAUUCUUAUAUCAGAUAAAAUAAAAAAAAAUAGAGUGUAUAUUAUUGAGUUGAUAACAAAUGUCGUAAUAAAAGUGCUAUAAUGACACAAACCAACAAGUGUUCUUAUAGACAUGUCAGGAAAAGCCAUUUUUGUUGUAGUGUCCUCAUCACCAUGCCACCCCACCACAGCCACCAACCAUAUCAUAGAUGUCUUUGAUGUAUGUAUAAAGUAUUCAAGGCUGCAGGCAUAUGUUUGAUCUUUAGAUCCCUUGUAAUAGUAAUACUUAGUGGAACUGAAAUUCCCAAUUCAAUAAAAAAAAAAGAGAAAAAAAUCUAUGAGAUGACUAAUUAGAUCAAUCCAUGAAGCCUUCAGAUCAUUUCAAAUAUAUGUUGAGAAUCGAAGUCAAGAAAUUUUGAAGUUACUAUAGAUUUGAUGGUGCGCAAUAUAGUUAAACAUGAUUAUAAGUUUCUCAAAUCUAGACAACUAGGCAUAAAAACAACUCUCUUUUUCUUUUUUCUUUUUUUUUGGUUCAAGAGGAAACUUCAAACCUUGCAAAGGAGGAAAGGGAAGUGGCACUUUAAUUUUGCAAAACGAAGAUCUUUAUUACCUACAGGGCAUCUGGUGUCUCCGAUUGGAUGGUUUGGAAUUCCUGGUUUCCUCAAUUCUGUGUCCAAGUUAUGCAAAAUAUAAAGGGGAUUAUGGAGAAAACAAAAUUUUUAUGCUAUAAUGGAAAAGAAAAUUUAAGGAAGCAAAAUGAGCACCCAAUUUUACCCAGUACUAAUUGAGCUAUUGAACAAUAACAGUAGAGACCAAAUUAAGAGAUUUAUAUAGAUUAAAGCCCAAAAGCGCAAGCAAAAUGUCAUGUGAAGCAACAGUAACAAACUCUGUACAUGAACCAUGGUUCUUCAAUGAAAGUCACAGACCUGUGUAUCUUUUGAGAGAUAGUUCUUCGUUUCCAAUAUUUUACCAUCAAGUUAUGUACGUGCCAAUAUGAUCUAUGCAAACAGGUUAAGAUAUCCCAUGUAUGAUCUGAUCUAGAACUCCAUACUAGUGUCAAUUGUUGCAUGUUUGCCGUUGAAUUUUCUUAAAGAUCUGCAUAAAUGGCCUCUUACAAACUAUUAGAUUAAGACUCUGAAAUUCUAUUAAAGUAAUUUAAUUAAGGGUAAAUUACUUAUAAUCUCCUGCAAUUUUACAUAGUGUCAGAUGGCCCCCUAUGGUUUCAAAAUAGCCACAUAUCCUCUCUAUGGUUUUAUGUAAAGUAGAAAAUGGAUGGAAUGCACAAUCACUUACACUGUUUAUACCAAAAGCGCUCUAAAAGCACGUGUGGUAAAAUUUUAAUCUGCAUAUAACUCCUUCAUGGUUUGUAUAAAUAUAAAUAUCCACUUUACUCUCUUUUGAAUUUUGCAUUUAUCCAUAUAAUCCCCUUAUGCUUUUAUAAAAAAUAGUUGGUUGUCAAUAGAUUUGGCAUUUAAAUAAGGGUACUAUUGGUAUUUCAAUUAACGACAUUACAUAGGUUAUUUUCUAUCAACUUUUCACUUUAUAUAAAACCAUAAGUGAGUGAAAUGGAUAUCUUGAAAUAUUAGAGGGGCCAUGUAGCAAUAAACGAAACCAUAGAGAGGGUUAUAUGUUAUUUACCCUUUAAUUGAUGACCAUGACUACGUGGAAGUUGGAUGCUUCAAAAUAUAAGACACGAUAAUAGUCGUUAAUAAGUUUCUGUUUGAUCAAUUUUUCCCCUUUGCUCACUCAUGUUCUUGGUUUUUUUUUUUCAAAUUUGAUGAAAAUAAAGGUGAAGCAAUAUUUUUGUGAGUUAGAACGCCACCUUGCAAAUCCUAUAGGCAGGUUUUUUUUUUUUUCAAUUUAAAAAGUUAUUCUAAAUCUUACAAUGAUGAUAAUAAAAAAAAUAAAAAAAUUGAAGAGUCCAAAUAAAGUCCUCACGAACGUUGCGAAUCAUAUAUAUAUAUAUAUAUAUAUAUAUAUAUAUAUAUGUAUAUAUAUAUAAAGGAGUUGUUUGAUUGUUGGAUAAUUUUCAUCUGACCUUUUCGAGGGUGAAGUUAGGUUAUGCAGCCCGAGUGUACAAGUCAUUAACGGUAUAGUACUAGCGUUGUAUGUUCAUUGCUGUGUGCAUUACCCACUUUACCCUUAGUGGGUUGAUGCUUACACUGCUUCAGCUUUGCGCUUCUAAGUAGCCGUUACCAUUGAUUUGUAAUUGCUGCAAAUCGUCAUGCAAGUCAUUGAGUUUCUGCAAAGAGAUCUAGGGGUUACAUUGAAUAAUUGGAGCAUCAUUACGCGCACAUGAAUGCAUUGAGAAGAACAUUAACUCAAUCCUUUAUAGUGGAAGUGUAACUGCUGGCUUUUUCUCUUCUAAAUUUUUCACAAAAUGAAUUCAGCAGAUGUAAGGAGUUGGAUCUUUAGAGUGAGCAAUUAUGGCUUCUUUAUUACAAUAGUAAUGGAUGGAAGAUGAGGGACCUGUUGGAAACGUCUGAAUAGAAACUGAAUGUUUUUUGCUUUGUUGAAGCAUUUGUCAAGCAGUUUUUUUUAGCAACCCGAAUAAUGAAGGACAUUAACACAGAGUACGGUUGCAUGAGUUGCUUAAACUCUAUAUUACCAAGGUGGUCCUUGAAGAGGCAAGGUUUCUUGCACUAUGUUUUUCAGGUAGAUACUAUCUCUGUAUAUAUCGAAUUCCUGAAUGAAACAGUGACAAUAUUGUGCAGUUUAAAAGUGGUUAUUAUAUUUGUAACUGUAUUCUUGAAUUUUCAUGUUUGCCAGCAACUGAGGUACAACUGUGAGGCAAGGGAUUUGUCCAGCAGCAGCUUUGUGAUCAAGGUACUUCCUAAAACAAUUGUUCCAAUUAAUUAAUGCAUUAUUGGUGUUCAUGCGUUGCUGUACUAGAAUUACAAUUGUGUUCUGCAACUGUUUUAUGCAAUUUAGACUUGCUAAUUAGUCUUAUAUUGUCCUUUUCAACUUAUCUGCAAGCCUCUGUGUCAGUUAAAUUGCAGUAGUUAUGGUAGGGGAAACAUAAAUAGGCACUAAGUAACAAAAGCACACCAAACAUUCCUAAAUAUCUAAGCAUGUGAUAGUUUUAUGGCUAGGGGCUCCUGUUUGUUGAUUACUUGAGGAGAAAUAAGUUACAAUUUGAAAUAGUUCAAUCUUAGAGUAAAGGAUUUACAAAUAGUUGUAUGAUUUUCUUUCUAAUCAUUACAAUUGAAAGGACAAAAGUGAUUCAAUUUUUUUUUUUUUAUAAAUGUUUUCACAGUAAAUUUUGUAAAAAUUCUUACUGACUUAUGAUCAUGUGAUUAAAUGACCAUUUGGUUACUUUUACAUUUCUCCACUUAAACAAAUUAGUGUUUUUUUAUUCCAUUUGUGCAUUUAAAAAUCACUAUACUUUUUCAUUUUCUUUUGAUAUUGAUAGCAUUUUUUACUUUCUUAAUCUCGUGAUACAUAACAAAUUAUAACAUAGGUACUCACUCCUGCGCAUUGCACAGUCUUUUCCCCUAGUUGACUCAUAUAUUUACCAGUUAAUUAGUGAUUUUGGGAAUGUAGGCGUAAUCUCUAGUUCCCAUCCUGGGUUUUGGAAACAAUGGCUCCAAGACAAGUCUCGGUUUUCUUCAACAGGAGAAUCCAAGGGAAGACCCAAUUAUAACGAAGAAAUGCACUUACACUCCUAGUUUGAAUCCUGAAUCGAUAACCAAGAAGGCAAUUCGCGAUCUAGUUAUCUCUGACAAGUUGAUUAUUGUCGGUUCUUAUUACCCUGCAAUCCAAUUAUACUAAAGGAAUGCACUAACACUCGUGGUUUGAACCCUCUAUCUGUAAUCAAGAAUGCAAUUACUCCGCAAGAACUUUUACGGCUCUAUACUUUCGAAGCGAAAGGGACACUAAGAGCUAGUUUUAAGCUUCUUUUGUAUUAUUUUUCUAUUUGUCAGUAAUCUUCAUCUCUUUUAUAAUAAGAUUUUGGUUAAUCAUAGGUAAUACCUUCUAAGGUUUAGUGUAUUUCAAUUAAACCGUUUGGUUAUUUAAACUCAUAAAAGGAAUUGUGACCCUGUUUUAGGUUAUUCUUCACCUAAUUACCCUUGGUAUUAGUUUUUAGGCAAUUGACCUCUUCAUUGAUAAUAAGGUAAUUGUGAUAUUAAAACAGCUAAAAUACAAAGGUGUACCCGCAUCAUUAUAAUUUCUUUUUUUCUUUUAAAUACCUUAGUCCACGGUAAACCAUAUGCUAUAUUGAAAAGAAAAAUACGAAAGUUAACACAUGUCAAACUUUUCUUUUAAUUUAUAGUGUUUAAAGUGAAAAGCGCCGUUGCAGGUAAUAGUAAUUCAAAGGUUUUGAGUGACAAAAAAAAAAUAAAACAUAAGAGCCUAAAGCAUGCCUUUCAUUCUUAAUAUGAAAAUUUCCAAUUUCAGUGUAGUAAAAGUUCUGUUCAGUGGCUUGGAUUAGUUAUUUGGAUACUUUUAAUACACAACACAAAAUAAUUCUCCUUAAUGAGUUUCCAUCUAUUUUACAUUUUAAUGGAAAUCAGUGUAUUGAGUUCUAUAGGUCCUGCCAUCCUUGUACAAAACAUAUUUUCUUGGAAAACAUGAGAAUAAUGGAUGAAGACAUUUUAACCUAGACAGUAUACAUGCCAUAUUCAUUCCCUAAAUUUAGUUGUGUAUGUGUAAAAUAAGCACUCGUUAAAAUAUAUUUCAAGUGUUAGACUUUUAGAAAUGUAAGACUAAUUAGGAAAAAUAUAUAAAUCUGAGGACAAAUAAUAAUCAUUCAUAUGUACAUGGUAGUAAUAAUUGUUAGUAUAUAUAUAUAUAUAUAUAUGAUAGGUUAUGUGGAAUUUAAGUGUGUUAAUAAAAAACGUUAAAAAAUAAUAUACCAGCCUUUAAUUUUUUUCCAUGUAAGUGAAAACGGCAAGUCAAAUGUACAUUGCCAUGUAUUAUAAGAAGGUAAGUGACACGUUAUUAUCUUCCAUAGAAGGAAUAAAAUCUGUUGUAGAUGAAAUUGACAUACAGUCCACUAAAUCUUGUUACUUAAUGUCAUUGAACAAGACAAUCCGCUUUUCCAUUUUGGCUAAGCCUCAUCAAUUCGGCAUUAAAUAUGAAUCAACAAUAAAUCAAGAAAUGACCCCUAUAUAAAGGACCACCACCAACCUCACAUCACUGCAUAAUAGUUGAUAGUUGACUCUUGAUAGGUAAAGCAAGAAAAAUGGCUGUUAAAAUGAGUUGGAAAGCAACCAUUUUGAUCUUUUUCAUGAUGUUAAAUUUCUGGGGAUUUCUCAUGAGUUGCAAUGCAAGAGUUAUUGUUGAGAAUUAUCCCUCAGUUGACAGCAAAACUCUGUUUCAUAAGCUGGGCUUUGAUGUCGCUGAAUACCAGAAGAAGAAUGCCCGAUUGUUGAGAGAAGCACCGGGCGGACCUGAUCCUCAUCACCAUGCCACCCCACCACAGCCACCAACCAUAUCAUAGAUGUCUUUGAUGUAUGUAUAAAGUAUUCAAGGCUGCAGGCAUAUGUUUGAUCUUUAGAUCCCUUGUAAUAGUAAUACUUAGUGGAAUUGAAAUUCCCAAUUCAAUAAAAAAAAAGAGAAAAAAAUCUAUGAGAUGACAGAAAUUUUGAAGUUACUAUAGAUUUGAUGGUGCGCAAUAUAGUUAAACAUGAUUAUGAGUUUCUCAAAUCAAGACAAUUAGGCAUAAAAACUACUCUCUCUCUCUCUUUUUUUUUUUUUUUUGGUUCAAGAGGAAACUUCAUAUCUUACAAAGGAGGGAAGGGAAGUGGCACUUUAAUUUUGCAAAACGAAGAUCUUUAUUACCUACAGGGCAUCUGGUGUCUCCAAUUGGAUGGUUUGGAAUUCCUGGUUUCCUCAAUUCUGUGUCCAAGUUAUGCGAAAUAUAAAGGGGAUUAUGGAGAAAACAAAAUUUUUAUGCUAUAAUGGAAAAGAAAAUUUAAGGAAGCAAAAUGAGCACCCAAUUUUACCCAGUACUAACUGAGCUAUUGAACAAUAAAAGUAGAGACCAAAUUAAGAGAUUUAUAUUGGUUAAUGGCCAAAAGCUCAAGCAAAAUGUCAUGUGAAGCAACAAUAACAAACUCUAUACAUGAGCCAUGGUUCUUCAAUGAAAGUCACAGGCCUAUGUAUCUUUUGAGACAUAUAGUCCUUUGUUUCCAAUAUUUUAUCAUCAAGUUAUGUGCGUGCAAAUAUGAUCUAUGCAAACGGGAUAAGAUGUCCCAUGUAUGAUUUGAUCUAGAACUCCAUACUAGUGUCAAUUGUUGCAUGUUUGCCGUUGAAUUUUCUUAAAGAUCUGCAUAAAUGGCCUCUCACAAACUAUCAGAUUAAGCCUCUGAAAUUCUAUUAAAGUAAUUUAAUUAAGGAUAAAUUACUUUAUAACCUCCUGUGAUUUUAUAUAAUGCCAGAUGGCCCCCAUAUAGUUUCGAAAUAGCCAAAUAAUCACUCUAUGGUUUUAUGUAAAAUAGAAAAUAGAUUGAAUGCACAAUCACUUACACUGUUUAUACCAAACACACUCUAAAAGCAUGUGUGGUAAAAUCUUAAUCUGCAUGUAACCUUUUUAUGGUCCAUAUAAAUAUCCACUUUACCUUCUUAUGAAAUUUGCAUUUAUACAUAUAAUCCCCUUAUACUUUUAUAAAAAAUAGUUAGGCCGUCGAUUGAUUUGGUAUGUAAAUAAGGAUACUAUUGGUAUUUCAAUUAACAACGAUACAUAGGAUAUUUUCUAUCAAGUUUUCACUUUAAUUAUAUAAAAUCAUAGGUGAUUGAAAUGGAUAUUUUGAAAUAUUAGAGGGGUCAUGUGGCAAUAAAUGAAACCAUAGAGAGGGUUAUAUGUUAUUUACCCUUUAAUUGAUGACCAUGACUACGUAGAAGUUGGAUGCUUCAAAAUAUAGGACAUGAUAAUAAUAGUUAAUAAGUUUCUGUUUGAUCAAAUUUUCCCCCUUGGUCACUCAUGUUCUUGGUUUUCUUUAAUUUGAUGAAAAUAAAGGUGAAGCAAUAUUUUUGUGAGUUAGAAUGCCACCUUGCAAGUCCUAUAGACAGCAUUUUUUUUUAAUUUAAAAAGAGAUUCUAAAUCUCACAAUGAUGAUUAUAAAAAAUAAAAAAUUGAAGAGUUGAAAUAAAGUCCUCACGAUCGCUUUGAAUUGACUCAUAUAUCUACCAAUUAAUUAGUGAUUUUGGGAAUGUAGGUGUAAUCUUCAGUUCCUGUCCUGGAUUUUGGAAACAAUGGCUCCAAGACAAGUCUCGGUUUUCUUCAACAGGAGAAUCCAAGGGAAGACCCAAUUAUACCAAAGAAACGCACUUACACUCCUAGUUUGAAUCCUCCGUCGAUAAUCAAGAAGGCAAUUCGCGAUCUAGUUAUCUUUGGCAAGUUGAUUAUUGUCAGUUCUUGUUACUCUGCAAUCAAAUUAUAUUAGGGGAAUGUACUAACACUUAUGGUUUGAAACCUCUGUCUAUAAUCAAGAAGCAAUUCAUGGCGAACUUAUAUUUGACAAGUUGAUCAAGAAUCGUUACUCUUUUGACACAAAAAAGGGUUUAGAAAAUCCUUUUCUUGUGUCGAAGACUAGGAAGACGAAUAAUCUCUUCUAGAAGAGAUUGUUUGUUUCCUAUAUAUCCCUUCUAUUACCCGAUUACUUCUGUCAGGUAUCUAAUUUAAUCGAAUUCUAUUUAGAUGAUCCAUUUUAUAACAUUGAAAUCGGGCAAUAGUAAUAUUGUCCCAUCGCCCCAAUUUAACUAAAAAAAAAUAAAGAAAUAGGGUGAAAGUCAAAUAAGAUUUUUCAAAAUCUAUAUACUAUGACUAGCAAUGCGACGAAAGAAAUUCCCAGCAUCUCGUAGAAAAAGUAUAAACAAGCACAAGUCUCUGCAAAGCUUUUACCGCUCUAUACUUUGGAAGCGAAAGGGACACUAAGAGCUUGUUUUAAGCUUCUUUUGCGUUAUUUUUCUAAUUGUAAGUAAUCUUCAUCUCUUUUAUAUAUCAACAAACAUAUAUAAAUGUGGAGGAAUUGGUGUACAUGGUCAAUAUACCAUGUAACAUGCUAAUUUUAAGAUAUCUAGGGUCGACCUUUAUCUAAGCUUUUGGUUAAUCAUAGGUAAUACCUUCUAAGGUUUAGUGUAUUUCAUUUAAACCGUUUGGUUAUUUAAACUCAUAAAAGGAAUUGUGACCCUGUUUUAGGUUAUUCUUCACCUUACCCUUAGUAUUAGUUUUUAGGUAAUUGACCUCUUCAUUGAUAAUAAGGUAAUUGUGAUAUUAAAACAACUAAAAUACAAAGGUGUACCCACAUCAUUAUAAUUUCUUUUUUUUUUUUAAAUACCUUAGUCACGUUAAACCAUAUGCUAUAUCGAAAAGAAAAAGAAAAAGGUAUGAAAGUUAACACAUAUCAAACUUUUCUUUUAAUUUAUAGGGUUUAAAGUUAAAAGCACCGUUGCCAUAAUAUAUAGUAAUUCAAAGGUUUUGAGUGAAAAAAAAAAAAAAAAGCCUAAAGCAUGUCUUUCAUUCUUAAUAUGAAAGUUUCCAAUUUCAGUGUAGUAAAAGUUCUGUUCAGUGGCUUGGAUUAGUUAUUUGGAUACUUUUAAUACACAACACAAAAUAAUUCUCCUUAAUGAGUUUCCAUCUAUUUUGCAUUUUAAUGGAAAUCAGUGUAUUGAGUUCUAUAGGUCCUGCCAUCCUUGUACAAAACAUAUUUUCUUGGAAAACAUGAGAAUAAUGGAUGAAGACAUUUUAACCUAGACAGUAUACAUGCCAUAUUCAUUCCCCAAAUUUAGUUGUGUAUGUGUAAAAUUAAGGGUAUGUAUAAUGGGUGUUCAAUGGGCACUCGUUAAAAUAUAUUUCAACCGUUAGACUUUUAGAAAUGUAAGAUUAAUUAGGAAAAAUAUAUAAAUCUAAGGAAAAAUAAUAAUCAUCAGUAUGUACAUGGUAGUAAUAAUUGUUAGUAUAUAUAUAUAUAUAUAUAUAUAUAUGAUAGAUUAGGUAGAAUUUAGAUGCGUUAAUAAGAAAACGCUAAAAAAUAAUAUACCAGCCUUCAAUUUUUAUUUUUCCAUGUAAGUGAAAAUGGCAAGUUAAAUGUACAUUGCCAUGUAUUAUAAGAAGGUAAGUGGCACGGUAUUAUCUUCCAUAGAAGGAAUAAAAUCUGUUGUAGAUGAAAUUGACAUACAAUCCACUAAAUCUUGUUACUCAAUGUCACUGAACAUGGACAAUCCGCUUUUCCCUUUUGGCUGAGUCUCAUCAAUUCGGCAUUAAAAAUGAAUCAAAAAUAAAUCAAGAAAUGACCCCUAUAUAAAGGACCACCACCAGCCUCACAUCACUGCACAAUAGUUGAUAGUUGACUCUUGAUAGGUAAAGCAAGAAAAAUGGCUGUUAAAAUGAGUAGCAAAGCAACCAUUCUGAUCUUUUUCAUGAUGUUAAAUUUCUGGGGAUUUCUCAUGAGUUGCAAUGCCAGAAUUAUUGUUGAGAAUUAUCCCUCAGUUGACAGCAAAACUCUGUUUCAUAAGCUGGGCUUUGAUGUCGCUGAAUACCAGAAGAAGAAUGCCCGAUUGUUGAGAGAAACACCGAGCGGACCUAAUCCUCUUCACCAUGCCACCCCACCACAGCCACCAGCCAUAUGAUAGAUGUCUUUGAUGUAUGUAUAAAGUAUUCAGGGUUGCAGGCAUAUGUUUGAUCUUUUGAUCCCCUGUAAUAGUAAUACUUAAUGGAACUGAAAUUCCCUUGUAAUACGUCUUGGUUUUGGAGUAUUUAUGUUUGAGUUUGAUGCGAUUAUGUAUGGUUGCUAUAUAUAUAUAUAUAUUGUAAUUUUUGUGGACAUCUAGAAAUCAAAUUAUAUUUAUACAUUGAGUUGAUACGCACGAAAAAACUUAUGAUAAUACACUAAAUUAUGUAAGAAAUAUAUUCCAAACCUAUAAUCGCAUAAAAAUCUCAACUGUACUUCCCUGUACGUGUCUCCAUGCAAAAGGAAUUCUUGAACAUGGAGGAAAGCAACAUCACUCGACGGGUUUAUCAAACUUAGAAGAUUAGAUAAGCAUUUCCAUCAUUUGACAAAUUAUCUCGAAUUGAAAUUGUUGACAUUCGUGAAAUUGUUAGUAUGUUCCAUUUAAACCGUUUGGUUAUUUAAAACUCAUAAAAGAUAUUGUGACCGUAUUAUUCCUCACCUUACCCUUAGUAUUAGUUUUUAGGUAAUUGACCUCUUCAUUGAUAAUAAGGUAAUUGUGAUACUAAAACAACUAAAAUACAAAGGUGUACCCACACCAUUAUCAUUUUUUUUUCUCUUUUAAAUACAUUAGCCUGCGUUAAAGCAUAUAAUACAUUGAAAAGAAAAAGAAAAUGGUAUGAGAGUUAACACAUGUCAAACUUUUUCUUUUAAUUUAUAGGGUUUAAAGUUAAGGGUGCAGUCGUCAUAAUAGCAAUUCAAAGGUUUAGAGUUAUAUAUAUAUAUAUAUUUAUUUAUUUAUUUAUGUUAUAUAUAUAUAUAUAUAUAUAUAUAUAUAUAUAUAUAUAAGAGCCUAAAUCAUGCCUUUCAUUCUUAAGGAGUAAAAGUUUUGUACAGUAGCUUGGAUUAGUUAUUUGGACAUUUUUAAUACACAACACCAAAUAAUUCUCCUUAAUGAGUUUCCAUUUAUUUUACAUGUUAAUGGAAAACAGUGUAUAUGUUGAGCUUUUAUAGGUCCUGGCAUCCUCAUACAAUACAUAUUUUCUUGGAAAACAUGAAAAUAAUGGAUGAAGAUAUUUUAACCUAGACAGUAUACGUGCCAUAUUCAUCCCCUAAAUUUUAGUUGUGUACAUGUAAGAUAAAGGGUUUGCUUAAUGGGUGUUCAACCGGUAUUCCUUAAGAUAUAUUUUAGGUGUUAGAUUUUUAGAAACAUAAGAGUAAUUAGGAAAAAUGUAUAAAUGUAAGGAAAAAUAAUAAUUGUUAGUAUAUACAUGAUGGUAAUAAUUGUUACUACGCAUAUACAUUAUAGGUUAAGUGAAAUUUAGGUGAAAUUUAGGGAUGUUAAUAAGUGCCCAAUAAACACCCAUUGCGAAAACGUUAAAAAAUAAUAUACCAACCUUUAUUUAUUUUUUCCAUGUAAGUGAAAACGGCAAGUUAAAUGUACAUUGCCAUGCAUUAUAAGAAAGUAACGGCACGUUAUUAUCUUCCAUAGAAGGAAUAAAAUCUGUUGCAGAUGAAAUUGACAUACAAUCCACUAAGGGUACGUUUGGUUCUACAGAAUUAGAAUUGAAUUAGAAUUGGAAUUCUAUAGAAUUUGAAUUCUAUGAAUUAGAAAUCCAAAUCCUUGCAAUUCUUUCGUUUGGAAAAUACAUAGAAUUGAUACGGAAUUUAUUUGGAAUUCCAAAUUCUUUGUUUGGAUGAGAGAAGAAUUCAUUAGGAAUUAGAAUUGUUUCCAACUAAUAUUUCCUUACAUAAAAAAUUUCUUUUUUUUACUAUAUAAUAAUUUUUUAACAUUUAGCUAAUUGUUACUAAAGCUUUAAGGAAAAAACCAAUUAGUACCUUUAAUAAUUUAUUUUUUCUUGCAUUUAACUAAUUGUUAAUAAAGCUUUAAAAGAAAAAAAAUUAGUUCCUUUUUUGCAAAAAUAAAAAAAUUCUUUUUUUUAAAUUAAAUUAUAUUAAAUAAAAAAUAAUUGUAUAUUCUAACUUAAAAAGUAGUUAAUAUUUAUCGAGUUAAAACCUUGAUACAAAUUUAAAGUUAAGAACUUUAAAUUUUAGAAAAUCAAAAGCCUACUCUAUGAUAUGAAUUGGGAGGAAAGUCAUAACUUGUACCUAUUAUAAAUAUUUGAGUUUUGUAUCUUACAAGAAAUUUCAAUAGAUGAAUACACAAACAACGUGUUUUUAGCCAAAAAAAAAAGAGAAAGAAAAGCACAGUUAUACAUUGCUACUAUUUUUCAAUAAAUGGCCAUUCUAAUAUUAAAUUAAGUUCGAAUAAAUUCCUAUCAAAUUUCAACUUCCAUGAUGGCCUUGUCUAAUUUGAUAGUCAAUAAACAUUGCUCGUGCUAAAGCAUUCCUAAAUUGUGUCCACUCGCUAGUUGGUUGUACUGUUCGAAUUCGAUUCUCGUUAACAGCAUUUACACCACCAUCAUUAUUUGGACCAUCAUCUUCCAUUCCAUUUUCCUCAUCUUCAUCUUCCAUUUCAUCUUCAUCAUCAACCUCAUGUUGUACUCUUCGCAUCUCAGCAUCAACUUCAUCCAAGUAAGGGUCAUUUGGUUGUUCUACUCGAAUAAGAUUAUGAAGGAUGGCACAUGCAUUAAUUAUCAUGACAUGAGUCUUAACAUCAAAAAAAGAUGCAUCUCUCAAAAUGGCCCACCGCUUCUUGAACAAACCAAAUGUCCUUUCAAUCACAUUUCGAGCAAUUGAAUGUCGAAGGUUGAAUAACUCUUUAAAAUUUUGAGGCUUCCUCCCACUAGCAGACCACUCGCUAAGAUGAUAUCUAACUCCCCUAUAUGGAGCUAAGAAACCGGAGCUAUUUGCAUAACCCGCAUCAACAAGAAAGUACUUGCCUGUAAUGUUAGACAACAAAUUAUUACUCAUUUAUAGUGUUAAAUUCUACAUAGUCAAUUGAAGCUAAAAUGAUAGCUAAAAAGAUUAAUUAUCUUCUCCUUGAAACUCCUCUAUAUAUGUGUGUGUGUGUGAGAUAAAGAUAGCUAUUUACAAUUUCCUAACUAGCAAUGAAUUGCAGGGAAAGCCCAACUGUUACACCACAUAAGCUUUAAAAUAUGCGUAACAAUUGAUUAUAUACAGAAACAUACACCAAAGAACUGCAGGACAAUUGUUCUAGUUAGUGUCAAAAUUGAACCGUUAUUACCAAGCUCAAUAGUUGAAACAUGAAAGCCAGAGAUAGAGCUAUAAUUUUCACAUCAAAAACCUAUUCACAACAUUCUAAGUGCUUGAAAAUAAAUACCUUUAUAAAACCACAGAUACAAGGAAGACUGAAGUGACGAUCUUCAGCCUUUAAGCAUGCCCAACUUCAUGUCAGCCCACAACUUUGCUAUCAAGAAGAAUGCACCGACUUCACUUAAAUGCAGGGCAAGGUUAAACAAGCCUUCCUGUAACAUAUUAGGAACAAUCAAACACAUUUAAAUAUACGCUAAGAGAGAGUGUGUGAGAGAAUUUAUGACAGCAUUAAAUAGUCCAAAACAAACAUUCAUCACAUUCCAUGUCCAUUGACGAGAAUUUAGCAGCCUUGAGCUGAUACAUAAAAGAUUUUUCAGGCCCUGACAGCAAGUUUUUCAACAGCCACUGCAGUAUAGAACUAAAAAUUCGCUCUGUCAAAGUAAAUUUGUGAUUCCUUCUAUGAUUCUAGAUACUAAGUUAAGAAGAGUAUAACUGGUUUUAAGAAGAUUUUUUAAUCUGACACUUGGUCAUAACAGCCAACAGCCUUGGAGUGUGAACUGGAGACGUUAUAUACUUGAUCAUAACAGCCAACAAAUAGAUUUUAUAAAAAGGGUGUAAUCUGCAUUCUCUGUGUUUAUGAUCUCAGUGUCUUGAAGGAGGAUACUUUAGCUUCGGAUUCAGCAUUUCAUCCAUUAUCAGUCUUAAACAUGUGGAUAUGAUUCACGAAGUCAGGUUCUUAGCCAAGGCCACUUCCUGAUGUUUAGAGGUCGAAUCAUUAUAAUGCAGUGAAAUUUUAAACUUGUAGCAGUAAUUUUUUGUAGACAAAACGUUCUUGAAUGAGAUAAUUUUUCUGCCUGUAAUGUGAAUGUAGAUCCUAGAAAUUAUCUCUUGAAUAUUCAAUCUACAAAGAACCAUGAACAAUGUAUUACAAAGCCACAAACAAAAGGGGGAAAAAAAACUGGAUACUAGUAGUGUUUUUUUUAAUGUCAAAUUCAAGAAAUGUUAUGUAAAUACAGCAUCAGGAGCAAGCUUAAAAGUUCAAAUACAGAGGCAAAUAACUACUUUAAUCAUUCAUUACUAAUUACAUCAGAAGUGAAUCAACGAAGUGAAAUACAACUCAAUAAAAGAUGCAUUGUCCAAAUAGAAUGAAAUUAUAUAAUGCAGUUCACGUGAUCAGAUUUAGGAAUCACACAAAUGCAAGGAAAGGUAUAAUUAUUUCUUCAAAAUACCAACCAAGAAAAAGAAAAAAAAAUAAAAAAAAAAUUGCAGCCCCCUGUAUGCAGAAUGUCUGUAAAUAAUGCAAUCCAGGAUCAGAAUCAUCAGAAUCCCAAAACACUCACUUUUUGCAAUUGAAAGCAAGAGAAGCCUUCGCAAGCUUCUGUUUCUACCGUGAGAGUAAGCGGUAAGCCACUCACUCAAUCCUCAUCAACUCAUCCUUCAAAAAGCCUCUACUAUUCCAUUUGUUAUUAUUAUUAUUUAAUUAAUUUCACAAAUAUUAGGGGAGCAAAUGCGAUUCAUAAGUAGCAGCAGUAAAUUUAUUUUUUCUUUAAAUAAAAAAACAAAUAUCGAUCAUAAUCCAAAUCCCACAACACAAUUCAAAUCGUCGGAUGUCCAGAACCAUCAAGUUACAGAAAACUUCAUUUGACGAAUAUAAUGCAGGAAGAACGUUGAAUGUAAAGGAAAAUGCGCUUACCGUUGAGUUGAGCAGUAAAAGAUAUUUGAGAAUCCUCCCCUAGACGGCUUCAAUAUAUACAAAAUAUUUGAGAAUCCUGCACUUUGUUCGCGAUUGCUGAGGUGAUGGGUAGAUGCGUGGCAGAGCGAUGCCGGAGACGGUGGUGGAAGAGGGAAAAUGUUAGGGUGGAGGUGAAGGGGAUGACGCAGAGCAAUUAGAUUAGAGGUACUUGCGGUUGAGGAAAAGUGUCUAAUUAGAUAGCGAGAGAGGGCCGCUUACCUAGUUGACCCGGUUUUAAUUUUUUACCCGCUAGGAUCCGCGUACUAACCCGAAUAGGAGGUGAAAUUAUGGAAUUAGAAUUGUAAUUCUUAGGUCUUACCAAAGAAUUGAAUUUGUGGAAUUGAUGGCUCAUAGAAUUCAAAUUGAAUUCUAAUUCUCUCACAUAGAUAGCGUCCAAACCGAAGAUUUGGAAUUGAUGCUCCAAUUCUAAUUCUAAGCCUCCAAUUCUAUGGGAACCAAACACACCCUAAAUCUUGUUACUCAAUGUCACUGAACAUGGACAAUUCGCUUUUCCAUUUGGCUAAGACUCAUGAAUUCGGCAUUAAAUAUGAAUCAACAAUAAAUCAAGAAAUGACCCCUAUAUAAAGGACCACCACCAACCUCACAUCACUGCAUAAUAGUUGAUAGUUGACUCUUGAUAGGUAAAGCAAGAAACACCGGGCAGACCUAAUGGUCCUAAUCCUAUUCACCAUGAAACCCCACCAAAGCCACCAACCAUAUGAUAGGUGUCUUUGAUGUAUGUAUAAAGUAUUCAGGGUUGCAGGCAUAUGUUUGAUCUUUUGAUCCCUUGCAAUAGUAAUACCUAAUGGAACUGAAAUUCCCUUGUAAUAGUAAUACGUCUUGGUUUUGGAGUAUAUAUGUUUGAGUUUGAUGCGAUUGUGUAUGGUUGCUAUAUAUAUAUAUAUAUAUAUAUAUUGUAAUUUUUGUGGACAUCUAGAAAUCAAAUUAUAUUUAUACAUUGAGUUGAUACGCACGAAAAAACUUAUGCGUAUAACAAAAUUAUAUGAUAAUACACUAAAUUAUGUAAGAAAUAUAUAUACCAAACCUAUAAUCGCAUAAAAAUCUCAACUGUACUUCCCUGUACGUGUCUCCAUGCAAAAGGAAUUCUUGAACAUGGAGGAAAGCAACAUCACUCGACGGGUUUAUCAAACUUAGAAGAUUAGAUAAGCAUUUCCAUCAUUUGACAAAUUGUCUCGAAUUGAAAUUGUUGACAUUCAUGAACCCUGUAAAACCAUAUAUAUGCGUCCUGAAUUUGGAUAAGGCAGGCUUAGUAAGUCAUAGAUUAGACACAAGAGUGACGGAUUAUCCCUAAAUGAUACUAUACAAAUAUACAAUACAAGUUUCAAUCCAAACCCACUUUUUCUGCAUAUAUAUAUAUAUAUAUAUAUAUAUAUAUAUAUAUAUAUAUAUAUAUAUAUAUAUAUAUAAUCUUUAUUUGUGUCUUUUGUUGUAAAGGUCUUUAGUGCAAUUAUAGAGAGGCAGGCACAGUUGUGGACAUUGCGACUAGGGCAAAACUUUCAUUACUAAGCACAAAAUUGUGUAUCCUAAUUGGUAGUUGAGAAUUAUGAUUCGUGAGAGAUGUGACACAAUUAGUGACGUCUCAUUCUACUACAAUAUUGCCUGCCUUUACACAAAAGCCAUAAAAAAAGAUAGAUUAAAUCUUAUAUACACGGUAGGCUAAUACGCUAUCAUAGUUAGAUGAACGACACAUGAGCAAAUUUUGAAUUUUAAAUUUAAAUUUUACACAUGUGUCAUAUAUCUAACGGUGAUAGUAUAUACACUGACAAUAUAUAUAAGAUUAGUAGAGUUUUGGUCCAAAUAAAAAAAAGUAAAAUAGAAAAAAUAAUAAUUGUAUCGUAGUGAAGCAUAUACAGUUGACUAAGCAACUUAAUUUGGCCAUUAAGCUAGGAAGGUGCUUCUAUAAGGUGGAUUACGCACUUACAAAGUUCUUUUCCAUACUUGACUGAGCAUGAUUAUACAUAAUUAUAUGAGACUCAGCUAGAAUUUAUGAUUGUUAAUUAGGUGUAGCUGCCCUUUGGCCCUCUUUUGUCUUUAACAUUCAAAAAUUUACUUAUUACCUUUCUCCUUCUAUUAAUUGCAUUGUCAAACUCGUUUAUUAUUAUUAUUUUUUUUUUGCAAUUUAAUGAUAGUUUACCAACGCAUUUUUCAUGAACGCGCAUAUACUACUCCUCAUUAUCGCCCUAAGACAUGGUUAAUUAGCAAUAUUAAUUACCAAAAACGUGGCAUAUAUAUAUAUAUAUAUAUAUAUAUAUAUAUAACAGUUAUCAGUCACAUCUUCUGACUUCAAAAUGUGAACAUAACUUUUAUUCUGUGAAUUAGUCAAAUGUGUCCUUAUCUUUCCUCGCAGGCUCCAAGUAUACAUUUCCUGAUCAGCUAUGAUGUGCUUUCGGCCGAAACUGCAAUUGUUAUUGUGAUGCACACUUGGAUUUUGCUUAUGCUCCUACUGCUAUCAGCAAUAGAUAUAAAGUGAUUACCCUAACUGGAAAGACUUUAGGGUCCAUAUAUUUUGUCUCUUUUCUUGAAGAGGAAAAUUGAUUCCAAAUUUUAAAUCUUCAACAACAGACACAAAGCAGUGACCAUAUAUAGGAAUCAUGGUUCUUUUAUUUUAAGCACAGUCUAAUGUAUUAAAAUCCCAACUUCUUUUUUUUCUUGGCCUUACAUUGGCCCCAAUUUGAAGUGAUUGUACUAGUAUAUUCAUUUCAUUAUUUCGUUGCUUUUCCAAGUUCAACAUCAUAUGGGAGCCAAUUAGAAUCAUGAGUUUGGAUAAUCUAACUAAGUAGUCCAACUUUUCCAACUUUGUACGUGUCAAUAAAUUCAUGGAAAACUAAAUUUCUUGGUUGAUUGAUCAAGUUUGUGAUGAUCACAACACUAGCUUGAUCAAUGCUCUCUAAAGACUAAAGGUCAGCCAUUCAUAUAUUUGAGAGAUGUUUUUAUUAUUAUUAUUUUUUUGACAAUUGGCUUUAGAGACAAUUAUAUAUGCACCGCCCAGAGGACCAUGGCGGGUACAAACAAAAUCCACAAUAAUCAUUUUCCUAACUUUCCGACCAACACCUUGCGAUCACCGGCAAUGUAUUAAUCUGAACAUUGGGUAGAGGCAAAGGGGAACGACCCCAUUUGUUCGAAUUGCCUUUUGACAAAAUUGAUAUAAUAAUCUUUUCAUCAAAUUUGGAUUUCUGAAUUAAUUGAUGACACGAAUUUGGUUAAUUAGUCUGCCAAGAAAAAGAUAGCAUAUGGCCUUCAAAUUGAAGUUCAGAUGUUGUAAGAAUGCUCUCCUAAAGUAUUCGAUAAACAAGCAUACAUUGACCAUUUCCAAAACAUGGCAAAUUAUAAUGCAAAAAAUCUCCCAAGACUCCCUAACUUAUCUGUAUCCAACCAAAAAAAAAAAACCAUCGACUAUUAGCUAGACUACAAUUGCAAAAAACAAACUUACACGACUCUCUAACUUUGUUAAGGCACCAAAAGAAAAAUUGAAAAGAUCAACUGUCUCUUCAUUUGCCGCCACGCCAUAUUCACCAAGAAAACUACUAUUGCUUACACGUUUUACAAUCUAUUUAAAACUUUGGCGCCGCCGCAGCAUGAUAAAUUGUUGUCUUAAUUAUAUUGCUUCACAGGGAAAAGGGGAAAAAAUGGACAGUGUUAUCAUGAGCCUGUGAUGUGUUCUAGCGUAGGGUUCCAUUAUGUUCAUGCAUCACAACAAGAAAUACAGGCGUUCUAUUGGGAAUUUUCCCAUGAGAACAAAAGAAAGAUUAACUGAAAAGCCAAGAACUAUGACUUUUACGAUAACAACAAAGUUGAAAAAGUCUGGAGGGUCAACAGGUUAAGAACUAAAAAGCCCUUUUGAUUUUUGACAAGGUGAACAGCAUGGUCAACUACAAAUGAGGGCCGUCCCACCAAUGUAAGCUUUUCUUAUAGGAUUUCCAAGGAGGACACUAUCUAAUUUACGUGCUAUCUAGCUAAUUAUGCCGACAGGGCACGUGAGAUUGAGGCGGAUAAUUUCUAAUCAAGUGCCAGUUGGAUAAUGCUUCAUUUUUUGUGGAAAAGAUCUGAGUGUGAUGCACCGUGCGGUCUAAUCAGAGCCACUUGUCGAUUUGCGGUUUUCUUAUGUUGCGGUCUUGGAUUGAUUUUACGUUAGCAAAAUGUGGAAAAACACUAAGGAGAGUACGUGUGUGUGUGUGUUUGUUUGGCAGCACUAGUGUGAUUUAGAAAAUUAAAAUUAUACUAAAUAAGGUAUCAGUGAUAGAGAUGGGUAGCGAUGAUGGACGACGGAAGUUACCAAUAGUAGGUGACGAGUGGUGGAAGGAGGGGGGAGAGGGGUGUUUUGGAGAAAUACAAACAUUUUUUUUUUAAAACUGCUAUAUUGAAUUACAAUAAAGUUUUAGACAAUUUUACUUAAGUCUCUCUUCUCUCCCUAUGCUUCUUAAAUCGUACUCUUUUACUAACAAAAAUUUUAAAAAAAAGUUUUAAAUAGACAUCCAAAAAUACAUUAUAUAAGCGAAUCGAACAUUUUCGCUACCCAAAAUAACUAUUGUGAACACAGUUUACGAUAUUAUUAUUAUUUUUUGUUCAAUAGUACUAAAAGACAAUCCUGGUCUAACAAUAUUGGUUUUUUCAUGUUAGGAAAUUGGCUUAAUUUCUUUUAGGUGAAUUUCUUAUUUUGUGUGGAAGUAACUAGUUUCCUAAUUGGAUUUAGUUACUUGAAGUAGUAGUCAAGUAAAUUCCUAUUUAGCUAGAUACUAUUUUCUACUCUAUAUGAGUUUAGGAAAUAGUAUUGGUUUCCAAUUGUUAUUUGGUUUUUUGGCACUAAUGUUCUCUAUAAAUAGAUAGAUUGGCAUACUACAAAGACACACAAGAAAGGAGUGAGAGAGUUCUUAGUGGGUGAGAGGGUUAUACAAGAGUUGGGGCUUGGGAAUCAAGUUGUAAUCUUGUGGUGUUUUUCUCAUAGUAAGAACAAGUUUUUCUCUCUGUGAAUGUAGGUUUGGUGAUUAAGCCGAACCACGUUAAUUCUUGUGUGUUGUUCAUCGUUCAUGCUAGAUAUUGUUUUCUAUUAAAUUGUUGGUCUUUUUCUUUUCAAAUAAUUGGCCUGAUACCCCAACAUUUCACAUAGCGAGAAUUUGUGUGAAUCUGCUACCAUUUAUAAUAGUCGAGGUAACUAUAGGAAAAGAGUAAUGGCUUGCAGUAUGCAAGCUUAAUAUUAGAUAACACAAUCCUUGUUUUUGCAAGUUCUAGUUAAUAGUUCCGGUUUGCACUCCAACUGCAAGAAUUUUAGCAUUUUUAAAAUGCAUCCAGGAGGGAACUACAAGAAUCUUUUCUUGACAAUGUUCUGUUUCAGCCCAUGUACGAGGAAUUUUUCAUACAGAUUACAUAAAGGGCUUAUUUACUUUCGCAAAUCAUCCUCAUUUCUCGACCAAAGCUAGCAAAAAAGAAUGUCGCCACGCGAAAGGAUCAGUAGUUGGUUGCCUUUAGUGAGUUCAGUUAAAGCAUUGUGCCAUUUGACGUGGAAAAAGAAUCUACAAGGGCUUAAAGUAGUAAGGUUUUAUCUGGUUCCCAGGUUGAGAUUGGCCCUAACACGAUGAGCAGAAAAAGUUGGUAAAGGACUUUGGAUGAAAUGACUCAUCAGCUGCCCCUUGCAAAUUCCAAUCCACUACUAGUUGAAGUAGGAGGAAUGCAAUACUUGACUUGAAUUGGGCUAAUAAGUGCUCAUUCGGACUUUUUUUUGCUAACUAAUUAAGUUAAAUAAACAACAUUUAUUGUCUGUCAAAGUAUUAAACUCGACUCGACUUGAUUAGUAUUAACUUUGAAAUCGAUAUAUGUAAAAAAUUUAGACUAUUCAAAAGUGGACUUGAUUAGCAUAAACACAUAUGAAAAAUGUAGACUGUUAAAUCAGUUUGAUAAUAAAAACUCAUUUUAGUUCAACUUAAUGAAUAAACGGUUCACAUUUAAGCAUAAUUUUAAGGGAAAAUGGUUUGUUUCAUCUCUCACAUUUUACAAAAAUAUUUUUUUUCAUCCCUCACUUUUAAAAUAAAACAAAUUCAUCAUUGACAUUAAAAAACUGAAACUAUUACAUCCAUGAAGUCAACUUUCAAUCCGAAUCUAACUACCCAUCAAUCCUAUUACAAAUUUUGAGAAUAUAGUUAGUGGCAUAUCAUUUGGUUCACUCAACUUAAUAUUCAUGUGAAAUUUAAUGAAUCCAAAAAGGAAAAAUAAAAAAAAAAUUAUAACAUAAAAAAAGAUUAAUCUUUCCUACAUUGUUAUUGUAUAUACUGACGAGUCUAGAUACUUGUCACAUCAUUUCAAUUUAAAUUUAAACACCCACCUUUUAUGUAUGGUAUACAUCUAGACUCGUAAAUGUAUAUACUAACGGUAAGAAACCUUACCAUUCCAAGUCAAAAAAAUGGCCUGUUUAUGUUAUAAUUUUUAAUUUUUUCCUUUUUUUUGGUUCAAUAAAUGUCAUGUGAAUAUGAUCGAGUUGAUCGAGUGAUCUAUCAAUUUUAUCCUCGAAAUUUAUUAUUGGGUUACUAGAUGGUUUGAUUCAUAGUAAUAGUUGGAUUCAGGGAUGUAAUAGUUUUAAUUUUAAAAUGUUAGGGAUGAAUUUGCUUUGUUUUAAAAGUGAGGGAUGAAAAGAAUAUUUUUUUAAAAUGUGAGAGAUGAAACAGAUCAUUUUCCCUAAUUUUAAUUAAACUUGUGAAAAAUAAGUAAAUAAACUUAAACACUAAAUUGUUCAUUUGAUUAAAUUUGGACUUUGCACAAUGCUUGAUGCUCAUAAGAGGAUAUGUCCUUAAAUUUUUAUAAAGGGAUGGAACAAAUAUUAUGGUAAUCAGUAGUAACUCUAGCUAGUUUUAAGUUGAGCAUUCCCUAGGACCUUUGCUUAUCCGAAUUUGUAAGCGUCAAAUCAUAUAAAAGUGUUUGAAACUUUGAAUCAAUCAAGAACUUUAGUAGGAGUUCUUGAGAGACUAAAAUCUAUCUACCUGUAAAUUAAUAUUAAAAGAUAAGCUCUUCAAUUAACACAGUACGAAUGAUUACAAUUUUUUUCGAGCAAACGAACAAUCUGAUGCAGGAGUUUUGUCGGAUUGGUACGUGGGUUAAAUAAAUAAUCGUACCUCUUAACUACAUGUUCUCCCCCACUAUUCUCCGUUUCUCUCCUACUCUCCUGAUGAAUCUUUCCGAGUUCUUAUAUAUGUAGCCAGAGCUGUCAGAUUAAUCUUCCACCCAAUUAACCACUGCACAUAUCAUUUCUUCCAGUUAGCUCAAGCUAUCAGGGUUCCUUAGUCUUGUUCUCAAUAAUAUUUCGCCCUCCAUUUUUCCAUGGCUUGUUCUAUCAUUGCAAGGUUAACCGCCCUACCGUAUUUCUUCAUGAUCAUUAUUCUCUUUGCUUGCUUCUUCACUUGUGAUUUGGAAGCACGGGUUCUUGUGGCUGAUCAUCACGAGGCUAUUUCCACGAUGCAUGAAAAGUUGAAACCUGACAGCCAAGUUCUUCUGAUGAGAAUAGGCUUCAGCCCUUCACAGCUUGAAUAUUACAGAAGAAGGUCACUUAAUGAUAUUGAUCGAGUGGCUCCUGGUGGACCAGAUCCUCAUCACCAUGCGUGAUUAUCUACAAUAUCCUUUUCUAUAUCUUUUGUCAUUUUGUUUUUUGGCCCAAUUCUUGGGUUUUCAGUGGAGGGUUUGGCAGGAUUGAUAUGUUGUUAGAGAAGAAGAUCAGAAUAUUGGUCGUGCAUGUUUGCUUUUCUUGAUGAACCACCGUUCAUCAUCGUUUCGGCUGAAAUCGGGUAUAGCAAAUAUUUGCGCGCAACGCUCAUUUUAAUUCAUUGUUGUCAUUUCAAGAUUCUGUCCCUACAAUGUUUCUGAUUAGAUCUUUCUUCUUUUUGUGUGUGUGCGCGUGCGGUUUUUUUCUUUUUCCUUUUUUUACCUUAUUUUCCUUUGUCUUUACUUUGCAUGCAGUCAUGUGUACAUUUCAGUGAAGAAAUAACAAUAAUAACCUUUUCUCUCUCUCUCUCCUUUUUUUUUUUGAUAGAAUGGGCGAGAUAACAAUAAUAACUUCAUUUUAUUAUAGAAGAAACAUCUCGAGAGAGUCCAAUAUAUAAGUCAAUAAUUUAAUUUUGAUUUAAAAACUUAAGUUAUUAGGCCCCAAACUCUUACUUACAUAUUAAGUGUUUUUUCUCCGUCUCUCGAAUCAAUAUGGGACAUAAUCCUUUACUUAUAAAUCUAAUAAUUUUGCAUGGAACAUUUAUGGAAUCAACAAUUUAUUGUGGUAAAAAUGAACCAGAUCAUAUAUAAUUGUUUUUUGUACAAGGAUAGGAGAGGACUUAAUUUGGGUUCUCUACCUUGUGUGCUUCUAUGCAGUUAAUCGUGAACUUUAUGAUUAACAGUAUAUGAAUAUCACAUUUUCUAAGCUCACGAGAGCCAAAAAGUAUUUUUGAAGUAAUUAAAAAGAUUUAAUCCGAAAACUCAUACCAGAAGAAAUAGAAACAACAUACAGAAAUCCACAUUUCUCUCCAGAUUGAGAGCAAACUAUACAAAAUUAAGUUGUCACUAAUCUUCUAACUAACAAAAUGUCAUUUUAGUCAAGUAAACAAAUUGGAAUAUCAGAACUCAUAAUAAUAUACAUAAUCUGUUUCUUUUAUUUGUAAGAUUUAAACUAUACAUGAUAUCUUAGUAAAGCGCUUAUAACCUGGUCAAUCAAUCUCUAAAUGAAUUCAAUCAUCCAACAAGUCCAUCUACUUACAGCCAACCAGUACUCCAGUUUAAUCAUCCUAAAAUGAUAACUGGUUAAUGAAACAAUACUAGUUUUCCCUUUGAAACUAGCAAAUUCCACAGCCAAUGUUGACUAAUUAAUUAAUACAUUUGUUUUCCUCCCAUCAAAUUGAACAGGUUCUACUUUGGUCGUACAAAUCCACAACAGAUGCCUCUAUUAAUCUCGUACAGUUUGCCGCAUUGAUUACAAGAACGAUUUUUGAUGUGUAAACGUGUCCCUUUUGCAUGGAAGAAGAAACAUGACUUAGCUGCAGUUAGAUGCAUUAUCUCUCAAGUUUCUCCAAACUUGAUAAGGUAAAACCAUAAACGGAUUCUUUUAAAAGUUUAGAUACUAAAAAAAAAAAGAAAAAUUGAUUCAAUUUAUAUUACUAUAUAGUUCUUAUCAGUAAAUAAAUCACCUUUACGCAGGUUGUCCAUGUCAAUGCCAAGUUGUUAAUUUUAUUUUUACUAGGCACGUAUAAAAUUCAUAGCAUUAAUUUCUUGAUACUGCUGCAAUUUAUUCCUGUCACAAUAAGAAGCUAGGGAGGCCACAUCUAUGGCAAAGGCACUAGAAUGGCUUCAUAAAGAUUAAAGAGCUUCUUCUUGAAGAACGUUUGAUGAAGAUCCUAACUAUAUAUGCUCAAAACGAUAAGCAUGGUGUUGACUAGUGUAAAUGGAUAGAUUCAGAGAGUUUCAGCCAAUUGGAUGCUCUUGUGAGAGAUAAGCUAAACAAUUUCAACAUGAUCAUAAUUAAAUGAGGGACAAAGUCAAAUCCAUGAGUAUAUAAGGGAAAAGUAUAUACAGUACAGGAGUUAUAUUUGUUAACACAAAAACCCCCCUUUAACUUAGUCAGAUAAUCAAGGUGCUUUAUCCAUUUGUGACUUGUACCCUAUGUCCUAAGUGAUUCUUGUCCUUUUGCACCAGCCAAAAGUUGAUGAAAAAUGAUUGGAUUGGUAGCUUUUAAAUGUGGUUUCGGACAUUCGAAAAGUUGCUAAUAUUUAAUCAUAUGGACAGCAAAACUUAGGGUAAGAGAAAAAAAAAUAACGAAAGAAAGAUGGCAGGAAUUCAUUUUCUGCAAGCAGGGAUGUGGAAUGGGGACUGUGAUUGUUGUUGCCAGGGGGAUAGUGGAAGAGAAAACAAAUAUUAGUGGCAUCUACGCAUAUCUUGCCAAUGCUAGGUAAACAAUUGCAGGAGGGUUGUGAUAGUUAAGCUUAAUCAUAGAGAUCUCAAAUCCUCAAUCUGAUUUAUAAAUUUAUGAGUUUUUUAAUGAGUAAUAAAUGUUUUUGAGGCCCUUGAUGGAUCACUUUCAAUCAUAUAAUAAGUAGCAAAGAUCCAUGCUAGGCAUGGAUCAAUACUUUAUCAAAAGGUUUAGUUGGGAAAUUAUUCAUGUAUGACACACAUACAGUACAACAGAUAGAAUAAAAUUGAAAAAAAGAAAAACAAAGGUGAAGCACCAUUCUAAAGAUAACAAUGAUCCAUGUGACUAUAAGUCAUAUACAAUGUCCCAAACAAUUUGGCAUUGAUGUUUAAGCAACAUAUUUGCACUACUUUUGGUCUUCUCUUAAAAUGGGAUGAAUUGAUAAAGGGAGAAAAUAAGUGUAAUAUGAAUUUAUAAAUGAGAGUGAUCUUUACUCAAUACGAACUUAGCGGCGCUAGAUUUAAAUUUGCGUAUCUUAAAUUUCAUCCCUUACCAGCUAAACAUAAAAAAGAAAAAAAAAAGUGUAAUGUGGUAUUACCUAUUUGUGCAAUUAUUGUUCAACCAUGCAAAUGUUUAAACCAACAAGUAUCAAGUUUGUUUGUGCAUAUCUACCUGCAAAAUAUUGCUGAGAAAUUAUCUGACCCAAAAAAAAAAGAAAAAAUGAAAUCAAUAUGGGCUAGGCCCAGCCCAGUUACUAUUCCCUGUAAGUGGCUCCCAACUUGGAUAGGACCACAAAACAAAAAGCAACCUACAAUUCUCAUCUGUUAUCAACGCGCCACCAUGGACGCGUUGGUCAACCAAAAAUCUUCCCACCCCAUUCCUUACUGGACCCAUCAUCUAACAAUCUCAACCGUCAAAUUCUCACCCCGUUGUACCGCAGCAGAACUCCCAACCGUUAGAUGAGCGUUUAAAUAUCACGCUCCUCAUCAGCGCGUGAAAUUCCUCGUCCACUCCCCUCACCCAGCUCUCUCACUGUCCUUCUUGGCUUCUUCUUUCUCAACUCACCCCAGAUUUCUUCCCCAGGAUCAUAGUUAGGAAAGAGUGUGAGGAUUCAUACUCAAGCUGUGUGUGAUAGUGUGUGAAAGAGAGAGAUCUCGAGAAAAAGGUAUGGCUUCUGUUCCUAAUUUAACUUUUGGGAAAACCCCUCAAGGAUUUCCCUGUAGUUAUUGUUUAUGUGUAUGUGUAAAAGGGUUUAAUUUAACUUUAGCAGUGUAGAGGACCCAAAAAUAUAGAAUUUGGGUUCUUGUGAAAUGGGGUUAAUUGUAUUUUAAGAUUGUAGAGAACCAAAGUAUAGAAAUAGGGUUUCUUGUAAAAUUGUGGGCUUUUGUGUUUAUGCAUGCAGCAGCUAAUUUCGAGGUAAAAGAUUGAAUUUUUCCCGGUGAAGAAAGUGAAGCUUGGGAUUUAUGUGUGUGAGUUGUGUUUAUGCAUGUGCUUUUUGUAUGUAGAUUAGUUGAAAAAGAUUAAAUUUCUAGGGUUUUGGGAGGUGGAUAAAUGGCUUCUGGAACAACAGUUGGUGGUGGAGACGGAGAAAAAGAAGGGUCUAAAGAGAAGCAGAGGUGGGCUGAAGAGAGCAAGGUGUAUAAAAGGAAGUCUGUCAAAGGGUUAAAGGAUAGUAGUGACAAGAACAACAGUUAUGGUGCCCAGCUGGGGCAAAGUCAAACUGGGAAACUUGGGAGUGAAGAUGGGAAUCUGUUGGAAGAACCUGUGUUUGGUGUGGCGUCCGGUGACUCAUCGAGUCGUCCACUGGGAGAUCGUGAAGUGUCUGGGAGAAAUGGGGUGGGGAAAGGUGGGUUUCUGAGGCAAGAAAAUAAGGUCACCAUCAAUUUGGCGAUGAAGUCGAAAAGGGAGGCACGGGAGCUGAGGAAAAGGCUCGAGAGCGAGUUGGACGAGAUUAGGAGAUUGGUGAAAAAGAUUGAAGGGCAGGAGGGGAAAAAGAGCAGUAAAGCUGGACGUGGUGUUGAUAAUGGUGGGAAGUUGAAACGGGUCCAUUCCGAGGUGGAUUCUGUUGGAACGCCUCGCAUUUCCAAGCCUUUGCAUCAGUUGAGCGUAUCAGUGGUGGAGAACAGCAAUGACAAUGGGGAUAAAGAGAAACGGACGCCCAAGGCAAAUAAAUUCUACAAGAAUACAGACUUUUUGCUUGCAAAGGAUAAGUUUCCUUCUGCAGAAGGCAACAAGAAGUCUAAAUCUGGUGCUGGGAAGAAAGCUGGAGGGGGUGAAUCAGGACAUGGGUUUGUUUCAGGGAAGUUUUCUAAUCAAAUGUUGAAGAAUUGUAGCUCUUUGCUUGAUCGAUUGAUGAAGCAUAAGCAUGGAUGGGUGUUCAACAAACCUGUUGAUACUGUGCAUCUUGGUUUGCACGAUUACUUUGACAUUAUUAAGAAUCCAAUGGAUUUGGGUACUGUAAAAGCUAGGCUUAGCAAUAACGGGUAUAAAUCUCCUAAGGAGUUUGCAGAGGAUGUGAGACUUACAUUUCAAAAUGCUAUGACAUAUAACCCUAAGGGGCAAGAUGUUCACGUGAUGGCUGAGGAGCUAUUAAAGAAUUUUCAGGACAAAUGGGCUGCUAUUGAGGCGGAAUAUAUGCAUGAGAUGAUGCAUGGCCCGGAUUCUGAAGUGGGUUUACCGACUCCUAAAUCUAAGAAAGCUCCUCCAGCAGUAAUGGAACCUCCUGAAAUGAGGACUUUAAGCAGGUCAAAGUUUAUUAGCAAUCCUGUUGAUCCCAAAACCAAAACCAUGAUUUCUGCUGGUUCAGGGAGAACUGCAGCCCCAAAAAAGCCAAAGGCAAAAGAGCCCAAUAAAAGGGAAAUGACAUACGACGAAAAACAAAAACUUAGCACAAAUUUGCAGAGUUUGCCUUCUGAAAAGCUUGAAAAUGUUGUGCAGAUUAUAAAGAAGAGGAACCCUUCUCUGUGCCAAAAUGAGGAUGAGAUUGAAGUUGACAUUGACAGUGUUGAUACUGAAACUCUUUGGGAGCUGGAUAGAUUUGUAACAAACUUCAAGAAGAGUCUGAGCAAGAACAAACGAAAAGCUGAGCUUGCCAAUCAAGGAAAGGGAGAAGCAGCCCGGAGUGUUCCAGAAAAGGUAAGCUAUUGAAAUUUCUAUUUGAUGCCUUUCUGUUGUUAAUUUCGGUGGUUAUAGGCACUUAGCUUCCGUUUUCUGCAGGACCUUGCCCCAGCUGCAGCAGAAACUCUGAAAGAAAGGAAGAUGGGUAAGCUAUCUGAGCUCAAGUCUCCUUUGCUCUUGAAAUAACGGCAAACUUGGUUUUCAAACAUAGUGAAGUUAAAUGUGUUUUCUGAACAGAAGCUAAGAAAAAUUAUUCAUCUCAAACUGAAGUGGAAAAGAAGAGAGAUAAUGCAAGUCGAUCAACUAACUCAAGCGGCUCGAACGCGGACUCGGGAUCUUCCUCAGGGGGUAUUGCUAAUUCUUACUUUGUAUUUUCUGUCUGGAGAUUCAUGAUUACAAACUUAUCUCCAAAGUGAGAGAAUGUUACUGAAUUGUCUUCUCACUUUACAUUUUUUGGCAGACUCUGAUAGUGGAAGUGCUUCAGAUGGAUCCGAUGCAUGACAUUGAACUAGGAAUUAGAGUUACUUGUCAAUGUAAGAUAAGUUUCUUUGUGGAUUUAUUUAUUUGUCAUUUCAUGGAUCGUGGAAUUGAAUCUGCUUUUAUUGAUUUCUCUUGUUUCCUUGCUCAUAUUUAAUUAAUUUUCUGUUAUUUAUCGAAGCACGAACCUGUUGUUGUUUAUGUUAGCCUUUUCUUUAAUGUUUCUAAUUCUCUUUGUGAAUUUUGCGUGUUGUUCACUUUUAUGGUUGCUGGCUUUACUUGAGUUUAACUUAAAACUUAAGAAUGCUCAUUAAGAUCUAGAUAUGAUAGUUAAGCAUGUAAAAAGUGCACUUGUAAACAAUAAAUGUCUUAAUUGCUUUAUAAUUUCCAAAUUACUGGGAAGUUUGUAGAUCAUGAGAAAAGAUGAUUGUGCUCUUUUGCUCUAUUCAGCAAUGCAUGGUAGUUAAACUUUUUUUUUUUUCGGAGCAUAUAUUGAGCGCAUCGAAUUUGUCUAUCUACAAUUUGAAAGUGGCAUUUUCCUAGACAAUAAUACUGCAGUAUCUUGUUUAUGCUUUAGAAGCUGCUGUUGACACUCCCCAAAUGUUGAUAAUUCUGGAGUGCCUGUAAAGCUGUCAAAGAUUGAGGGAAGAGGAUAGAGAUUUCAUUAAAUUCUUUGUGAGUGGAUAUUAACACAAGUGUGAGAUAUGACUUAUCAAACAAAUUAUUGUGACUUGUACAGUUUUUGCUUUAAGAGGAAGUGCUGGUCAUUGUUAAACAGUCUGCAUGACUUUACGUGUGAAAUGACUUUCCUUAACUAGUUAAAUGAAAAGAGGGAAAGGUAGGAAUAUGCAAAACUUAAGCAUGAAUGCAAGUGUAACAAACUAGAGUUCAGCUAAAUAUAGAUAUGUAGGUUUGUGGUAUAAUGAUGGAAGCUUUAUUAAAUUUACUUCCUUUGUUGGCUCCAACACUGUGGCACUUCUUUUACAUUUUUUAAACUGGGAAGUUAGUUAUGGAGGCUGUAGAGAUCAACAUAAGUCCGUUGUUCCUUGAGCUUUAUAAUGGUCGAUCAGCAUUUUCGGUAUAUAUCAUCUUUCUAUCUUAGUAUCUUCCAUAAGCGCUCAAAGAAUCCCAAAUGUUUAAUCAACAUAUACACCAUGUGGCUGCAAGCGCUUAUUUGAGUGCUCUCCUUUAGCUUUAAGAUAGCACGAGCUUGUGAACUAAACCAGUGAUCAAGGUGCAGUGAUAUUUAUGAGCAUCAGAUCUAACAGGUGUAGGAAACACUCUAUUAUCAAGCUAUCAAGCAUUCAGCUUUUUCUUAUUCUUUCUGUACUAGAGUGUUGGUAAGAACUUGUACCUACUGUUAGGAAUUAUCUAUACUACAUUAGUUUCCAUGUUUGUAAUGCCUACUUUCGCAAAAGUCAUCUUAGGUGAAAGUAGUGCAGUUAGAACGUAAUACCUGUAGGUCGAGUAAUUUGGUCCUCUCUGUCUCUCUCUCACACACACAAAGCACACACUUUUCUUUUUUAUUGUUUCUCUUUCUGUUUUGAUUGUCAUGGUUAUGGCGAAUGCCUGAAUGUUAAUUUGAAGUUUGGCUCGUUUUUGUCUUCAAUAAUUCCAACAGGAUUGUGGCCUGAUUGAUGCUGCUAUUCCUUUUCAGGUCUCAUUUUGUUUUAACGAAGAAUCGUGCUCAAGUCUAAUAUUCAUGUUUCUACCAUCUUGCCUAGAUUUAUUGUUACAAACCUGUGGCCGAGCUUGACUGCAUAUCGAUCUUCUCUUGAAACAAUGGUCUCCAUCGACAGUAAGCUGUUUUAGGUGAUGGUUUUAGCAACAGAUGUUUCUGGACAACCUGGAGAAUGAUGCAGAUGCUUCUUUAUUGUACAUUGUUGUAGCUUUUGUACAUAGCUAACUACUGCUGGCCAGUGUUCUGUGAAUUUGUCUGGUGGUUUACAGCAGCGUUGGAUAAAAUAUUUCGCAGUUAAAUGCAAUUGUAUGUAUGUAUUAGUAAUAGUGGUAUGCUGUCGUUGACCUAAGAGGCAUUCUUUGUGUAAAGUCUUGUUCUUGGUCUUGGAUCUUUCUUGAUAAGUUAAUUUCAUAUUGCCCUUAGCUUUACUGCUUUUACUAUCAAUACUCCUAUAAUAGCUCGUUUCUUGCUAACUCCAAUCUAAAUUUUGGCGUUCCCUAGAUUGAGUGGUACCAAAACUAAGGGUAAUCCUUAAAGUUUUGUUCAUGAUAUUCCUGGUUUGCUUCCUUAAACCCCAUCUGUCAGUCCCUCAUCCCCUCCGUUGUGUGGGAAAAGAAUGGAAAGCCCCCAAAUCCAGAAUGGUGGACGUUGCAACAAGCUAUCCUGCGUUUCCACCUUGAAUUCUCCAGCUGUUUGUGUCCCUAGAGCUUAGUUUAUCGCUGCUCAUUAUGUGGUAUUUGCAAUAUUAUUUACACCUACCAUAACACUUAAAACUUCUUUAAUUGAAAUAAAACUUAGUACCAUACCAAUUUGUCAAGUAGUAAUAAUCACGAGUAUUGCUAGAAAAAGCGACUUAACAUAUAUAAACAUAUCUCUUGGUACAUAGUAUUUCGUAUUAUAAUUCAUUACUCAAACUUAGUACGUCAUGUUUCAUAAUCUAAAUCAUUAUUCAACAUUCACAAGUAUUGUAUCAAUCGUAUUGUAUUAUCAAUCAUCAUGCAAUAUAUACAAUGCAUAAACUAUGUCAUGGGGUGUAAUUACGAGAAUUAGCUUAGACAUGAAUAUGCCUCCAAGAUCGAUCUCUGAGUUGCGGCGAGGUGACUUGAAUUUCCCCAUUUCUUGAUUACACCAACCCAUGGCUCGCAAUUUUUUUGAAUUGCUGUUCCUCUUAUUCUGCGCGCACCUUGCCGGUUGAUCUUCGUCAUGGCCCGCAAAUUGCAUCCUGUAACAGCGCUUGCCCACUAUUCCCUCCCAGUACCCUCCUCAGUCCUCACUGCCUUAUUUGAAGGAAAUGCAUCCGCUAAAACAUAGAACCAUGCUCUCCACUACUUUAAAAUGCACAUUUUGGUCAAACACUUUCCCAACACACAACCCUUUUAAUCCAAGAAAGCCUUUUUCUGCUUCUGCUGUAAAAUAUCCCAAACAAGAAGAAACGCCUGCACAAAUAGUACACUGGUCCGGUCUUAACAACUGGAGAAGUAGCCCUCUUAAUCGCAACCGUUUCUGGGGAGCCAAUGGCCCACAAACAUCCCCGAUACAACCAUCAUUCUCGAAUUCUGGAGAAACCGGCGACAGUGGUUCAAUUUUAUGUUCAAUUGACUGGGGCUGUUGCUCUUCUUUAGCAGAGAUGGGGGCUGUGGUGCUAUCUACAGCUGACCCUCUUCAAAAAUCAAAGCUUUCCCACUUGGCUUACUCCAGAUGGUGCCAGGAGAGCCUUCCUGUUGGAGUCUGUGAGGCACCCUCUAAGCCUGCUCGUCCCCAGAAUCCGCAACUGGUUUGUUUUCUGAGAGUCCUUUUGGCCAUUUUGGUUACGGAGACAUUAAAAAUUUGAUCUUUUUGUUGGAGUUUAAGAGUUAAUGUGAGGAAAAGCAGAUAUGUUUGUGUAUGAUAGUCAUGUUCUUGAUUGAAUUGGUGGGAUUGGAGUUGGAGUUUGUGCUUGUGCUUAGAUGGUAAUCCAUGUGUUUGGUGAAUUUGGUAUGCUGGAGAGUUUAGGAAUUGUCUUUAUUGAAGCUUAGUUUCCUCGUAGAGAAUUGGCAAUGUAAAUGUUGAAACAAAACAAUAUUAUUAUGGGAGCUGCAUGAAAUGCUCUCGCUGUUAAUAAUUGACACCACUCUCUUUGGGUUUGUUUUAAUUUAGUAACUAUACUGUUUAUUAGUGUGACAAGCUGAGUACACUGGCUGCUCUUAGGACUGGUUUACUGUAUGAAAAUGCAGGUAUCUCCAAAGGAGAUUCCAUCCCCAAAACACUCUGGUUUGCCUCUUAAUGCAUAUAUGCUGCAUAAUCUAGCUCACGUGGAGCUAAAUGCGAUUGAUUUGGCUUGGGACACCGUUGUUCGCUUUUCUCCUCAUUGUGAGCAUCUUGGAGAGGGAUUUUUUGCUGACUUUGCUCAUGUGGCUGAUGAUGAAAGUCGACAUUUUGCUUGGUGUUUACAGAGAUUAGAAGAGCUUGGAUUUAGGUUGGUAUGGUAUUUUUGUUUUUUGUGAUAAUUGUCUUUGUUCAUAUAGUGACUAACAGCCUCUAUCGUUCUUCUUCUUCUUCUUUUCUUUUUUUUUUUUUCGCCCCGAGCAGCUAUGGGGAUAUGCCAGCUCAUAAUUUGCUCUGGAGGGAGUGUGAUAAAACAUCAGAUAAUGUUGCUGCACGUCUGGCUGCAAUUCCACUUGUCCAGGUACUCUGUUGGAUGUAUCUUUUGCAUCUUUAGUAUCAUUUCAAAUUCAGAUGCUUAUGGGAUUAUGAUUUUCCAAAAUUAUUUCCGAUGUCCAUAACAGCUGUACCUGAAUGUAUUUCUCUUCUUUCAGAGUGUUCUAUGAAGAAAGUCUCAUACUGGAUAAUAUUAAAUGCCAAGACAUGUUUAAUGCUGCCUAACUGUAAGAAAGUUGUCGGGUUCCUAACACAAAAAGGCUAUCUAAUAUGGUCUUUGUGUCCUUACCAGAGAAGUUUCCCUUCCCCAACAGAAGCCUUAGGUGGCUGUGAAACUAGCUGCAUAUUAUUGCCCUAGGUCCACUCAACUAUUAGAAGAGCACUAGGGCCCCUGAAAGAGCUACUAUUUAAUCCCAAACUGCUCCCGACUCAGCAGUCUGGUAGAGAUGAAUUGCGAUGGAGUAGCAAUACCCUACCCUUUUUUUUUUGCGGAUUUCUAAAUUGACGGUUGAAACAAAAAGAGCAAGCUGAUUGACUUAAAUAGGACUAGUUCCACAUGGCAUGAUUCCAUAUUGAUUCCAACGAAGAGAAAUUUUCCCAGUUAGAUAUGCAGUUAGGAUAACGAAUGGUUCACAUCUUCUGUUCUGAUGUUCUAGGAGGCCAGAGGACUUGAUGCUGGGCCUCGGCUUGUGCAGAAAAUGGUUGGAUUUGGUGAUCUUAGGACUUCAAAUAUUGUGGCUAAGAUUGCCGAUGAAGAACUUGCGCAUGUUGCAGUUGGUCUUUAUUGGUUUCUUUCAGUUUGCCAGAAAAUGGGCCGUGCGCCUUGCUCUACUUUUAAAGGUCUAACACAGUUACACUUAAUUUAAGCAGACCUGUUGCAAGUCUUUCUCUAAAUAUUGUGUUACUUAUGUGGCAGUCUUGCUCAAAGAGUACAAUGUGGAGAUAAAAGGACCCUUCAAUUAUUCAGCUCGAGAUGAAGUUGGAAUUCCUCGAGAUUGGUAAGUGUGGGAAAAUUUCCCUUCAUUGAAUCCAAUUAACUUAAUGGGAAGCAGAACAAAUAAUUUUACUUGCUGUACAGGUAUGAUCCUUCAUUUUCAAGACAAGGACAUGGGAAAGACGGGCUUUCUGAGGUAUUUAAUUUGAAGCUUCAAUCUUUAUCAGGAAACUGAAAAUGCAUCUAUUUGAAGCAUAUGCUAUCACCUUUCUAAGUUUGUUAAUCGAAACCGCCUGCAGGUUUACGAUAGGUUAGCAUGCAUAAUUUCUAUGGAACAAGAAAACUCAAAGAUGGACGCGUCUCGUGGAUGAAUCUUACGUUAAGAAGCUGUAUAUAAUCUAACUUCAUGAAUGUCAAACCUCAAGUGGAACAGCAAAAACUUCCAUUGCCCUUCUAACUGGAUGGUGAUUAUCAAUCUUCUCUAGGAAAGCUGCCCUGCAAGGUCAUUGGUCUGGUUGUGAUGAAUUAACUUAGCUUCUUAGUGUUUUAUAAUUCCUGGUCCAGGAUUCCCAUGAUAGCACCAGCACAACUCAAAUCAAAGACAUCCUUGCAGGUUCCCUUCUCUUGGGGGGUUCUUUUACGUCAGGGAUGGAAGAUACUUCGGAGCUACAAUUCGCUCUAUAGUACUCGUGCGAUGAUAUACCUCUUAGCUGAAGUUAGCAAUUGAUGUGUAAAUUUUGUGUGACAUAACUAUUACUGCUGUUAUCUCAACACUUUCAUCUCCAGAACAAAAGAUGGACAGGAAUUAUUCCACAAAAAAGUCUUAAGGAAGUGAAAAGGAAAACUUUUCUCUAUUUGUUUUUCCAGCAAAGAAGGAAGAGACACCUGAGUGCGUCUACGUCACAUUAUGCUUGUCAAUCUGGAAAGUAAAUCUCUUGCUUACGAAGAAAUUAGCAUCUCGAACCUAAUUCUUGAUUCACGUGUCCCCCAACAAAUCCUCUUCAUGAGAUUACGUAUUGAAAAUUGCAUUAAACCCAUCAAUUAUCACCACCUGAUUGCUUACUAUGUUUAGUAUAGGAUGACACUUUAUAGCUACGUGUCCUAUUAUUCCCAUGCUCAAAGAAGAAAAGAUAAAGAGAGUUUUCUAGAGGGGACCGACCUUUGGCUUUGGGAGGCAUAAAUCUCACAAGAAUCAAGAAUUCAACAUCCAAAGAAAAAUCCCAGAUCAUCAAGGACUGAAGAAAACAUCACAAAGAAAUGUGCUGUGGAGAUGGAGAUUGUAGGCCUUUGGCCUUCCUAUUAAGCCUGCCCUUCGCCUUUCUUGCUCUCCUCGUCUCUCUUGUGGGCAUCAUCAUUUGGAUUGUCGGGUACUGACAUUUGACUCAUUUUCUUCCAUUUUUCUUUGCAAAUUUCACUGCUGCUGCGUUGUUUUCUUGACUUUAUUUUGUCAAUCAUGUUUUGAUUCUCUCCUUUUUUCUCCUCUCCCUUUCUUGAAUUUUAUUGAUUGGUGUAGUAUACUGUUGAGCAUCAUAUGCCCAUGUUGCCUGUGCGUGACUGUGCUAGUGGAGAUGGCCCUGCAAUUGAUCAAAGCCCCCAUCCACGUUAUGGAGUGGUUCACCUCUCAGAUUCCCUGCUAGAUUAAUUCUUCUCCCUCUUUUUGUAACUUCUUCUUUUUCACAUCUUUGUUAGGAAAUUUAAAGUAAAUUGUAGACUCUGUUUUAUCUUCCUCUGCAUCUCUUGUUGUUAUUGAAUCAUUUACUUCAUCCUAGUUGCUAUUUCUGAUCCUUCUAUCUCAUGCUUAUCAAUUUCUUUGCUUUUUUGCUGGGGAAAAUACUCUUUAAAGUCUCCCCUUUGAUUCCUUCCCCCCAUGAAGAGAGAGGAGACAACAUUUGAAAGUAGAAAGAAGGAUUUUCGAACAUAUGAACUGCACUGAACCUUAUGAGAUUCUUGAACAUAAGAAACCACGCAUCAAAGAGGAUUACAUACAAUAGUUAACAGAAUUGAACAUCUGAACUGCACCCAAAUUUCCUUCGCCACAAAACAUAACUACAUAAGCAAACAUGAUGAAAAGAAAAAAAACAGCAUCAUUGGAAGGCCUUUCAUACACAACAGCAACAUGAUAAUAUAUGCGAAGCACUAAAUCAAUUUCAGUCAAGAUUGCCCUUUUUGCUCUUCUUUGUGUGAUUCAUCUUUAUCGAAGGUGUGAGUCUGACCAGGCAGGCCCUGUCCGGUAAGAAGAUCUUUCGUCGUUUGACCAAUUUCUGCUAAAGUUUCGCCAACUGCAUGCAGCACUCCACCGCCCUGUCCUUCUUGUCUCGUUUCUUCUUGGAUAAACUCCUUUUCUGUUGGUUUGGCUUCUCCUCCCUCUUCCUCGUAUUGAUUUUCCUUGGUGAUGAAUCCACCUUCCUACAUAUGUUUCAGGGUCAAAAAUCAAUCACCAAAAGCCAGCCAAAGAGAAAAAAGGCACGGAGUAUAACACAAUUUCCACAGCUUUUGCAAUUUUCUAGGACAAUGCAAGAUGCAAAAUCGCCUAGAAAAUACUUUGAUACUUGAUAGGUGAUACCUCAAAUGUAAAAAUUUGUUUUUUAUUAGUGAUUCAUAAGCACAAUUCUUCAGCCAGAUAUUUGCUUUACCUUUUGUCCUGUGAGCAUCAUAAAUAAGUGGUGCAAACAAAUCAAUUACUCGUAUCUUCAUGGUAAAAAAUCAUAAUCAGUCCGAUGUGCGAAUAAUGAAAAUUAUGACUCACUGAUUUACCUUAACUGGAGUUGAUUUCUUCUCCUCUAAUUCUCUCUGAGCCUCAGCCUUCUUCCUAGCUGCAUGCUCGGCAGCACUUUCUUCAGUUGCGACUACAGCAUCUUUAGCAGCAGCCAAUUUACUCUCAGUAUACCCGACAACUGUCUGUCCUGCACCCGCCACCUUAUCCUUGGCCACCCCAGCUACAUCAGCCAUUACUUUAGUACCCUGAGCAGCCUUUUCUGCCGUGUAAUGUGCCGCACCCCAGCCAGCCACGGCCGCCAUGUCUGUGGCUUCCCCGGCCACCUUUCCCAUGUAUCCUACUGCAGUUUUGCCGCUUUCCACUGUAAUAUCCUUAACAACCGCUGUUUGUUCUCCAACAUAACCAGCCGCCUUCUUGGUUGCAUCCACUGUAGCAUCCUUAGCCUGGACCGCCUUUUCCACUGUAACAUCCUUGGCCUCUUGACCCUUUUCAACAGCGGCGUCCUUCAAGGCUUUAGCCUUCUCACUAGCAACUUGAGUUCCACUUUCAACACCUUGCUUGACAGAUUCCUGGGCUUGGCCUGCCUUUUCUGCAGCAUAUUGGGAUCCAGUUUGAACUCCUUGCUUCGCUGUUUCCUUGGCUUGCCCUGCCUUCUCAGCGGCAUACUCAGAUGUUGCACCAGGUUUCUGACAUGCCGCUUCCUUUGCCUGCCGCGAACGCUCCUCGGCAGCCCUGAUGGCCUCCAUGGAAUUCUGCUGCGCCUGUUGCCUAUACUCGGUUAUCUCCUCCAAGGAAGGCAUUUCUUUCUCUUUACCUUCCUCUUCGCCCUUCUUCCUUUCUAUCCCUUCACCCCUUUCUUCAUCUGUGCCUCCACCGGCUUUCACAGCCAGAGACUCAAAAUGGGUAGCCAUUUUUGGGACCCUGUCUUUCUCUGCAUCGACUGCUCGCUCAUCCGUAACAUCUUCCCUUCUCAUUUGCUCUGACGACAUUGUCAAUUCUUGAUCAAAAGAUGAUAGAUAUCUUUGGAAAUUUCUUUUGGAACACAAAUGGAUUUUAUGUAGUAAAAAAAUGCAGUACUAGGAUGUAUCCUAUGCAAUGUGACUCUGUGUGAGAAUUCGAGACAUCAGGAAGUUUGGAAAAUGGUUAUAAAAACUGAGGCCCAGAGGUGAUGGCGGUUUCCAAGGAGAUCGAUGUAAGAAGAGGAAAUGACAGGUGGGCAAAGCUCAUGCAAUGUAGUGGUGUUGUGGGGUGGUGGCCUGUGUGAGUCAGCAAUCGAGUCAAGCAAAGAUGUACACGUGUUUUUUUUCAGCAGGAAUGAUACAACGAAUCGGCAAUGCUUUUUGAAAAAUUGUGUGGAUAAUUGGAAUUUAGAAAAAUGAAGAUGUAUAUGUAAACAUUUCCAAGUUCAAAUUUAUGUAAAUAUGACUGCAUGAAAAUGAUUAAUUGGGGCAAAUAUGAAUAUGGGUCAACAUGUAUACCAAAACGGACCGAGAAAUCGAUAGUGCUGUUUUGUUUAAUAUCACAAAGGAAAGCCCAAGUGCCAGCAUUCAGCAGGAACAUACUAUUGAUGAUUUCCUACAAUUUUUUGGUACAAAAACGUUUGGGAUGAAUUAUUUCGAGUCAUCAUCAUGAGUCACGGCGUACCCCUGUAAUCAUACAUCGUUUUACAGAAAUUCUUACAAAUUGUUUAUUAAUACAAUUCUUACAUCAACAACGGGAUGUAAAUACACGAUCUUUCCUAUACGCAGGCAGGCAGCAGAAAAGGUGAUUACAGAAUUUAGUAAAUGUAACUAUAAGUAUUAGAACCAUUUCCAAGUCAAAAUCUGGUUUCCACUCACUGACCUGGAUCCAACUAGACAUGGACGGUGUUUCAAUUGUGGUUUAAUCAAAUCCACUUUGAUCCUCCUAGAUGCCAUGAGGCUUGUUGUCCACUUGUUUCAUUGAACUAGCCCAAAGUGCUAAUGCGUUUAUAAUUCAAGUCGCAAAGCAGUUGCCAAUCAGCCCGUAGUCUAGUGCUGUAGACUAAUGGAAGUCCCCAAAGAGAGACUGGUAUUCUUUCGAGGGACUGAAGUAAUAAUCAGUAUGUUGAAUUGAUGAAAUUUGGCAGUUUGAAAAUAUGCAUUUCCAACUGAAGUGCCAAAACAGCUUCAAAUUUAAGGUUAACGUUCGAGUACUAAAGAAUGACUUGUCAAAGCCCCUGUAUUGCAAAACUUCCAGUUUAAAAGGCGAUAUCGAUGAAUGGUAGAAUUUUAACCACAUUAACAGAACAAAAAGAUGAAGCAAUUCUGACACAAGAGAAUGCUAUAGUUGCCUGAAAUUGGCCUGAAAAUAAUCCAAUAACAUUAAUAAUUCUCAAAAAAUGAGAACAACUUCUUAAUCAGGCAUCCUCUCAUGCCAAAAGCCCCCGUAGUCUCCACUUUACAAUUGAAACAAUCAAACAGUGAUCAAAUUAUUCCCUUGCAUUGCACGAGAUAAAUAGAAUAGAGCCAAUUUCUACCCUUAAACAAUGGACAUUUCUUUCUGUUGAUGAACUAAGUAUCAGUCAGAGUUCAUUCCUGCUACCCCUUUUUUCUGUAUCUUCCCCAUCAACCAAAAAGAGCUGCAUAAAGAAGUUCAUUCCAAGUAUCAGGCAAUCCAGGCAGACACCAAUGGCUGCAAUCCAGGCCACUGUGCUCACUGUAGUAUGUUGGAUGUGCAUCCUUGCGAUAUUGUGAAAGUGUUGUGAUGUCCAAUAAAUAAACAGGAUUCUUGAUUCUGCUCAGAACUUUGUUCAGAACUAUUGAAGCCAAUGGUGUGCCUGCCGGAUACCUUGCACCAAAGUAUGGCUGUGUCUCGCCAGCACAGGAUCUUGACGGUGCAUUCCAUUCCCUGCCCCUGAAUUCAAUUGCAAAGAUUAACAACCGCUAAGGUUCUGUAGACUAGUUCAAAGGCAAAGUUCUAACGAGUUAAUCUUAUUUAUGUAUACUGACAAUGUACAUACACUGUUAGGUGGUUAGAUGCUUGAUAAUUAUAUAAAAUUUAAAUUUAGAUUAAUUGUUAAGCAUCUAACGGGGAUAUGACAGUGUAUAUACACUAUCAUGGUUAGAUGCUUGAUAAUUAUAUAAAAUUUAAAUUUAGAUUAAUUGUUAAGUAUCUAACGGCGAUACUAUAUUUACUGUAUCAGUGUGUAUAAAAUUAAUUCAUUUUUAAACAUAACUUCAAAGGGUUAACUCUUGAAGAAUAAUGUUUCACGAAAAAUAGAUAUUGCAACUUUUUUUUUUCUAAUUUGUUCAAGAAAAGACUCUAAACUUUACAACGGGGAGGAAAAAAAUAGGUAUUGCUACUUGUUAGUGGUGAUUUCGUAGUAGCAUUUGGACUUGAAAAAAAUGGAAUGCUAAAAUCUUGUCAAACUAAAUAUAUUUAGUUCUUCUACAAACAACCAUAAUGUUUAUCUACGAGCCUUUUGGUUUUGAUAUAUAUGCAUAAUUUGCGUACUUGGAUUUUACAAUGAAAUUGGAGGGAAAUUGCAAUAAACUAAUCUCAAAUUAGGUGAGGAAUUGGGAACAGAGAAAUUGCUUACAAGUAGUGAGUAGGGGAAAUUCCUUGGAAGAUGACUUUAGUUUUGGAAGGAUCGACGUUCCGGUCGACCCAUCUGGCCCAUGUUGUCAUCCCUAUGUAGUAAGCAAUCAGACGGUUCAUAUCUUUCUGAACUUUGACGCCAUCUUGUAUGUAAUCCCAUCUGCGUUAGAUCAUAGGGCACUGAAAUCAAUUAAUACAGCCUAAAAUAUAAAUUGACCAUAAAAAUUUCAAUCAUAAAAAAUUUAUGAAAUUGGAGAAUUUACGGCUGGGAUCUUCCAGUAUGGGUCCACCAAUGCCAAGAGUUGAAAAUUAGAAGGUCCAUCCCUCUCCAUGCAUCUCCACCCCUAAUGGAGUCCAGCUUUAGAACUACGCCCUCCUUUUCCUUCACCAUAUCCACCAGGUAUGGGGUGCGAUAUAGUAGUAUCCUAACAUUAUAAUCCUAAUCAAACCAAAAACAAAUCACAAUUGUUACCACAAGGCCUCCAUUUUUCUUUUUUCUUCUUUUUUUUUUGCUACAAAAGAAUAUACAUGACAACGUCUAAGAGUAAUAAAAAGAAUCUCAGAAUUAUUAGUCGAGAAAGUGUAAGUGAAAGAUUUCGAGUUCGAUUCCUCCACACAGAAUAAAAUCUACUUGUAUGGUUCUAGUAAGUCAACCAUCUUUGUUACUUUAUCUGAGAAAUUUGAUUGCUACAUUUACCUUAAAUUAGAUCAACAAAAUUGCAUACAAUAAUUCUUUAACAUUCCAUUGAUGUUUAACAUAUUCCUUUUUUCUUUUUUUUUUUUGGUUCCUUCUAUCCAAGAGAGAACACAAACCGUAAAAGGGGAGAGUGUGCAAAAAGAAAGAUUGAUAGUUGAAUCAAAUACGUUAAGAAUCACUUGACUAAUGUUCCUAUAUUGUUUGGAAUGUGGUUUUCUUUAGAAAAAUUUUUAUGUUUUACGUGAACAUUAUUUUUUAAUCUUUUAUUUACGUCACAUACAUCAAAUCCUUACUGAAUAUUUUUCUAUAAAAAAAAACUUUUAAAAAUGACAAUCGAAAUUAAAGUUAAAUCUAAAACAUCAUAGUAACGACUCAAAACGUUUAACUUUUCAAAAAAGAAUUCGAAAAAUAUUUAUCUUCCUAAAGAUGACACUACUCACACCCAUUGCCAUUCACGAGUUGUUGAAGAUAGGAUUCACAAUAGGCCAGAUGGACACUUAGAAGAAAGCAAAUCGCAGACAGGAUGGUCCAUGGAUUAGCUGUUUGGGACUUCUUUUUCCCGAUUCCGUAUUUCAGUUCGUUUCUACCAACAUGCGUCCUUGUCCGGCUGUCCCGUCCCUACUUUCUGUUUUUGCCAACAAGGCAAUCACGCCAUCACUUUGACCAAAAAUCACUCCUAAGUUCCACAAAUAAGGGUAGGUGGUCCGAUUUUCUUCAUCAAUACAACAUAAUUUCUCUUCCUAUACUCCUCCUAUAUCCACUAACUCCCUACCAUAGCCUCCAUAGGCUCCUCCUCCCCUAAAUUAGAAUAGAAUAGAUUAUAUAAAUGUAUCGUUGCUGACAAAAUAUAUAUAUAUAUAUAUACUCCUCCUAUACACACCUUCAUGGACCGAUGAAUAAAGUCUACCAAGAUUGGAUAAUUUUGUGUUAUACAUUAAAUUUCAACUUCUUCACGGAUAACAUUUAUAUACAUUGUGAGUGUAAAAAAACUUUUAUGCAAGCAGAUUUAAAACUUAACACAAAUUCAAAUUUGAAAUUCAAAUCAUGAAUACAUGACAUAUAUCUAAAACUGUUAGUAUAAAAAAAAUCAUUACACUAUUAAUAUAUAAAAAGUCAACCCUUUCUUUAUUAGCAAAAUGCUUUAUUGGCUUUUUUCAAUUACUGUGCGCCCUUAGAGUACAAUAUAAGCACACCCAAAAGAAGGAAGGGGCCAAAUAUGAAAUUAUGACGUCAUUCGACCCCACCCCUUUUGUUUUGUCUAGAAAAUUUAAAUUUUUGCAGAUAAUAUAUAAUAUGAGUGGACCUUUGGUUGUAUACGUGCCCUUAAGUUAUAGAAUAGAAAAACCCUACAUUAUACUAACUUUCCAAAGUCAAAAUUUCAUGAUAAACCAGAUGGUGAUGUCAAAAUACAAAAUUUCUCAAAAUUGAUAAGAUAAAAACUUUGCAGAAAACCCAAUGAUCGAUUUUCUAUAUUUUAGGAUUUGAAACACGAAAAACUUUGGAUGCGGAAUUAUAAAAAAGAGAUGUUGUAGCAUAAAACUGAUUGGACUAGUUCAGAAUUUAUUAGGAAGCAAGCAAAUAAGCCAGAAUGCCUCUUUCACCAAAUUUAAUUCUACCAAAGAAGACAACAAAACCCGAAUUAAUUAAUUGAUUAGUCAUUUUCCAGCAGUCCUCCUCCCCUCUAUAAAAAGACAAAAUCAUUAAUUAUUUUAAAAAAUAAGCCAAAAGUCUCUUUUUUUUUUUUUUUUUUUUUUUGUGGACUACCGCUUCAACUUUAUGCAUGGUUUCUUCCACAAUCAUAAUGACACCCUCAAAUUCUACCUGAUUUUUCAAUCAUGCCUCCCUCAAUUACUCCUGAAAGAUGGUGCAUAUUACUACUAGUAUUUUUUACCAUCACCAUUUUCAAAAAGAUUCCUGUUCUUUUUUUUUUUUAAAGUCAAAACACUUACAAGACAAAUUGGGACAAAUUUACAACAUGUAAUCAUUAGCAAGACUUUUAAAUUCUUCUCAUAUCUGCAGUUUAAAUUCUUUUCACAGAAGUCUCAAGUGUUGCAGAUGCGUUUCUUUGUCCUCUUCUUUACCACAGCUUUCUCCAUGUGAAAGAAAAGGCUAAAUGCGUUGAAAGUUUCAUGGACAUGGACCAUCAACAACUUUGCAAAAAUUGAUUCUUUUCUUCCUCAAAACAACUGGCAAAUUCACCAAGCACGCCAUCACUCCAAAAACUUUCUAACCAAACAAGUAUGGAGAAAAACAACUGGCAAUUCACCAUCGGAAUAAAGAAGUCCCAAAAAGUUUGUGUCCCAAAAAUUAAUGCCCUGAUCUAUCCAGUCUCAGGAGCAUAUGGGGUCCCAAUAUUUCCUUUACCAAACUCGAAUUCCAUCUUAAAGCGCCUUGACGGCAGUCACAUUCGGAAACCAAACAUUAUCAAUUUAAGGAAGAAAUCAAGAAAGUGACAAUAGCCACGAAGGCGGAUGGCAAUUGAAUUCAAAUCAAGUGUUGAAAAAUUGCGAUGUGAACUAUAAAAAUAUUAGGUGCGACGUGCCCAUUAUGUGGUAAUAUUACGUGAUGCACUAGUAUUAAUAAAAAUUCAUAGCAUUAACCUGUCUGAAAAACACUUACGAUUAUUAUUUGAUGACAGAUGAUUAGUUUUAGUGCACCACACGUGAGCUAGCGAGUAUGGUCUUAGUAAUAGCCUCUCCGUCAAUCAUACUAGCUUAGCUGAGGACAUGGUACAGUACGAGCAGAAUGGAGAAGAAAAUGGUUGUUUGACGGAGUGCAAGUGACAAAAUUUGGGGCAGAAAUAACAGAAGGGAAGUGUAGUCAUGAACAUCUAUCACUUCACCUUCCAAAAAGCUAGGACAGAGACAGGAGAGAGGUGAUGCAUGCACCAAAUCAAGUCAUCAUUCAACCAAUUCAACAGGAAAGGUUGCUCAAAAUCUUGAAAACCUUAGGCGGUGAACCAUCAAGAGACAAGACGCGUGAAGAAAGAAACAUGGCUGGAGAUUAGGACUAAAACUUACCAGAAAUGCAAUUUCAGAAAGCCCCUCUUUCCUUAUCAGACUGUACCUAGCCUUCGGCACCCAAGAGUGAAUCAUGCAACCCAAUGAUGCCCACAUGUUGAAACUCAAUGAAUCGCCAACAAACAUGAUGUUCUUCCCCCUCCAUUUCUCCAAGAAAUACAGCCCAUUAAACCUGCAAAAAAAAAGUAGCAGAGUUGGAACUCCAAUCCCAGACCAGAAGAGAAUUCAAGAAACCAAAGUUGAGAUUGAAGAGUUCUGAGGAGCACUCAUGGAGUUUGUACCUUGGGAUGUUACAUGAAAAUGGCUGCCACCUGUAUUUGAGGUACAACUUGUCAGGCCUCUUGUAGAGGAGACAGUUGAAUUCUGUAUCAAUGAAGGGACAUGAUGCAUAAUCAUAAAGGGGAUAUUGAGCAUCAUAUACCCAUUUGCCUCUGAAAAUGUUGCAACCAGUGGCUAGCAUUGUGGCUCCAAUUGAACUAGUGGUACUAAUAUUGGCAGCAUUCAAGAAAUUCUCGAUUUCAUCAUCAGCUUUUGCUGUUUGGCAUGAACAAAGAAAGAGUAAAAGUACUGAAGGGAUGAACAGAAAUCUCAUCUUGGAUUUCUAGCCCAGCAGAUUUGUCGGAGCUAAAUAACGAGGUUUUGAGGUAAAGUUUGUCGUUAAGAAAUGUGUUUCAUAUACUAUAUAGUGUACAACAUUAUAUACUAAUAUUGUGCGAGACUUGUGGACUCUGGUUAGAAAGAGAGAGAGGGAGAGAGAAUGAUGAGAAAGUAUUCCCAGUUGCACAUGCCCUUGAAAAUUAGAUGAACCCCACCUCCCCCAGGCGCCAACAAACAAGUGUCUCUUUUUUUAAAUAUAUAUAUCCAUUUGUGAAUUGUGAAUUUCUACAAGAAGAAUUAAAAAAAAAAUUGUGAUUAAUCUGAUCUUGUUUGGGCUAUAUGCUGGACUUUAGCCUGUGGGGUUGGUAAUUUUUUUUUCUUUUUUUUUUUUGUUGCAUUUGAAAUAUUUUGAAACCUCAUUUGAGUGUUCUUUUUCUUUAAAGAAAAGGAUGGCCUUUUUUAUAAAGUUCUCUUUGUGUACUUUUCUUGUGUUUGGUAGGUGAUUCUAAAACUUUUGGUAAAGGUGGCAAUAAACAUUAUUAUUAAUUGCAUAUGCUAAGGUUAAUUGUCUCUAGCAUCAUUAUUAAUUAAGCUGCACAUUUUGUUAAUGACUUCCACUCGCAGCUGCCUCUCUUUCUCUUCUACACUACUAACAUGCGAGAGUUUAUCAAAACCAUGGGCUAUAUAUAAUACAUAGUAUUAGAUUCUGUUUCCUUCUCUUUCUCACAUUUGCUCUUAUUAACUACAAGUGGCUUAAGCAUUAUUUUUCCUUUUUAAACAUUUUAGGAAAUGAAAUUUUUUGAACAAACUUGGAUUGACCUAAACUACGGUCAAUUUCUAGUGCUGAUUUAGGUAAUGUUUGGAUUGUAAUUUUUUGGAGUUUCUAUAGAAAAUGUAUGGUAACGAUUUGAUAUAUGUGAAGUAAAAAGACGAUCAGAAAACGUAUUUACGAAAAAUGUAGAGAUUUUUUAGUGAAAAAUUCCUUUCUAAACAAGCCCUUAGACUUUUGUAAAAACUUCAAGAAAUCAAAUGGAGGCCAUAAUUCAAUUUGUUUCUUUUGUUAAAAUCAAGUUCCUAGGAUAACUAGUGAACAGAUAAAUCACAUGUAAGAAAAGCUCGACAUUUUUUUCAACGGUGAGAAUUUAAUCUUAGUCUAUUUUACUCUUUGAUCCAUCCUAGAAAUUGAAUAAUUACACGCACAUUUCCUCUAACGCUUUUGUAUCAUUGAACUAACCCACAUAAUAUAGAAAAUAAAAAUAAACAAAAUCAUGAGUUUAAAGAGUUGUUGUGGGAAAUUAAAAUUUAAGUCUAGAACUAGACGAGGUGUCUUUGUAAUUACGACAAAGCUCAAGGGUGGACGGUAGUGUUAACAAAAUUCCUGCCGUGCUCGUGCUUCUUCUUCUUUCUUUAUCAUAUUGUUAGAACUUUCCGCGUGAAUUUUCUUUGCUACCAUAAUCACAUUCGUCCAAUUAAAGUAGUGGAGGACACCAGUGACUGUUGAUUGAGACCAGGCCGCACCACAUAUUAUUUGAGUCUGAUAAUACUUUAUUUACAUGGCAAGAUAAAGAGAACAAAAUGAAAUUGAUGCCUUGGAAGAUUGAAGAUUCAGCAAUUGAGACUUGCUGACUUUUAUCUUAUUAAAGUUACAAUCAAUCCAACAUCAUGGAACCAUCCUCAAUCCUUUCUUUUCAAUUUUUUUUUUGUCUUUUCUUUUUAAUUUAAUCACUCUACUAGAAGUCUGAAUUGGUAUUGUGUUUACAAUAUUGUUGUCAUUAAUUAAGUAAGAGUACUUGUAAGGUGGAUGGAAUUAAUUGGACAAAAGAGCUGAUAUGACAAUUUAGGGAUGAUAGUUUCUUUCUGCCAUGUAUCCAAUAGUUAUUUGCUUAGCCAUCACUCUUUAUCUCCGAAGCAACCAUCCUGCUAUGUGCUCGACACUUGUGAACUUUAAUAACUCGAAGGCUUAUGAUUGGAAAUUAUUGUGUUUUUGGUUACGUACUCUGGUUAUUUUCUUGCGAAAAUGGAUAAAAAUGAUGAAGUGGCACAACACCUGUAAAAUGUAGUAUUCAGCUAAUUAAUUCAUGGAGGGGACUGUUUUCAGGCACCGUUUUGGAUUGAGGGAUAGGGGUUCAUUUGUGAUUAUUAUUUGGACAAGAAUUCUAUUAUUUUUUAAUAGAGGAAACUUUCUGGCUAGUGAGGGCAACGGGGUGGAAUUGGGGCCCGCCCCCACUUCCCCCUCUUCUUCUGUGAGGUUAAUAAAAAUUUGUUAUAUAAUUUUAUUAUAAUUAAAUUCUAGCAAAUAAUUAAGUAGUAAAAUAUGAAUACAUCAUCAAAUCAUUAUCCGUUGUAAUUUUAUAAUUAAAAUUCAUAAAAAUAAUCAAACAAAAACUAUUUGAAUAUAAUCUAACAUGAUGAAACAAAUACAACUACAGUAGUCAAGUUUUCACUUUUGAAAAAAAUACAAUCACUAACUUAUUAUUGUAUUUUUUUGAAAAAAAAUUGUUAUUGUGUUAAGUGUAAUUGAGGAUUUAGUGUAAAUGUAUUAGUAAAUUUAAUAUAACUAAUUAAUAAUUUCUAUUAGUAGACAUGUAUAAUUAUUAGUAUAAUUGAUAAUAUCAAUUAUAUUACAUAUGCUUAUAUAUAUAUAUUAUAUAAUACUUAUAACUAAUAAUAUCAUUAUUAUAAGUUUGAAACUAAUUAAAUUAAAUGCUAUAUAUAUACAUAUAAAUAUAUAUAUAUAUAUAUAUAUAUUAACGGGUGGCGGGGCAGGGGUCCUUAACGGGGGAAAAUCCCCCCGCCCCAACCCCCAUCCCCUUAUCCCCCAUGGCGCGCAUCUGUCCCAAUUGCCGUUCCUAUUUUUGGGAGGCCCUGAACUAUUCACUUUACAUGGUUUUGGUCCCUAAAUUACAAGUUAUCACAAAUAAACCCAUAAACAAAAAAAAUGCUUAGUUUAAGGAUUUCCGUCAAAUUUGAGUGUUAAAUGUAACGGAGCUAGGGGCAAAACCAAUCAAAAAGAAAAACCAACCCAUGAUUUGAUUAAAAACCUACUAUAUUAAGCCAACUGAUAACGUGAAAUUUAAUGGUUUAUCAUCUUCUUUCAUCUUUCACCUUUUCUAGCCUUAAUUUGAUGAAAUAAUCAGUUACUAGACUUUUUAGACUAUUUUGUGGGUUUUUUUUUUUUGGUUGGUUUUGUUCCUAAUUCGGUCACAUCUAAUGGCCAAAAUUAAUGAAAAUCCUUAAACUAAGCAUUUUUUUUUGUUAAGGACUUAUUUGUGACAAUUUAUAGUUGAAAGGCAAAAACCAUGCAAAGACAAUAGAUUAGGGACUGUCCGAAAAACUUCCUCUUUUUAAUAUGUUUUCCAACCAUCUUAUAUUUUGUAUACAUCACUGUCAUUACAGCACAAAAGUGUCAUAAUAAACAAUACCAAAAAAUUUCCCAAAUGGCUUGCAACCCAUACAUAAUAUAACAAGGAGCAGUCGUAGACAGAACGUAAUGGUGGUACCUUUUGAUUUUGAAUUUUGGGCAAAUUUCUAAGUGUCAAUAAGGGUGUCUUUGGGGCUGUCAAGUAACAGUUGAAAAUCAAGAAAUGAGUACCUAAUAGAGUAUAAAAUUGAUUGGUUUUCGACAUUACAGAAUUCAAUUCAGGAGUCUUUGAGUUUUGACAUGAUGAAAAUUGAAGAAGGGGCUCAUGUUGUAGGGUCUGCCGUUUGUCCCAAGAAUCGAUCUUCUCCACACAAAAAUGAAAACACAGCAAUAGCCAUAUGCAUGGCGGCAUUCCUCCAUACUUCUCUUUCAGCGUUAGUCAAUCCCACGUAAUAAUUCAUAGUGCCACCAAAGCCGCCUCCCCACCACUUCUUGCUCUUGGUGCUAACACCCUUGCACACACGCAUGGUGGGCAAUGGCGCACACAAUACAUAUACAUAUAUAUAUAUAUAUAUAUAUAUAUAUAUAUAUAUAUAUAUAUAUAUAUAACAAUAUUUGGGGGAAUUAUUUGAGGUGGAUUUUAAAAUAAAAUGCUAGUUAAAUAUUACUUGUUCUGAAAUUUUUAUAGAAAGGAAAGUGCAAAAAGAGGAAAGAUGUAGGGAGAAGCGAAAGGGACUAAAAAUGGUGUGACUCGGACUUUUGUUCUAUGGCAACUAUGGAAAACCUUUAGUCUAGGAUAAUUUUUUAAUGUAAAUCGCUGCACUUGAUUUUCAAUAAGAAACACUUCUUAAUCUAUACGUUAAUUUAGAGGCUUUCUUAAAGAACAAAUAAAAUGAAUUCCAAUCAUUCAAUUGGUGGCCCCAAAAUGGUACUUUUUUUUUGGAAUAAAGGAGUCUUGUAACAUUGAUUAGUUACUUAUGAAUUGUGGGGGAUGGGGUCAAGUUUAGAACUAUAUGGAAACAGCCACACUGUCUAGUAGUUUUUUUGUAUAGUGCUUCACAUGUGGGUUGGUCACUAAGAUAAGACUAUCAACUUGUGAGUUGUGAGGCCUGAAAAAAAAGAACUCUUUUUGUAUGGAGAUCUUGAUCAGGGAAAUGAGGAACAGAAUCCACUUGGGGGUUUGCCCAAAAUGAAGAUUUCCACCCAAAUUUAAGUUUGGCCAGAGUACCAAAGAUCACGUUAAUGUAAUCUACAAUUAUAGAGAAGUCACGAAGCUUUUAGAACUAGGUUAACCUCUCCAAUCCACUUUUGAAGUUAUAGAUCAUGUUUUGGUAUAUAUCAAUUAGUCAAUAACAUUAUUGUCAAGCCUAAUCUUGCAUGCAAAAUCUAUCAACAACAAAUACAAUGCUCAAUCAUUGAAAGGUUAGUACAAUACCGAAAAAAAAUAAUUAAGGCCAAAUUAAUCCAAAUAUUUCAUAAUUUCUCAAAUUAAUCCAAAAGGAAAUGGUGCAUGUCUCAAAUUCAAGGCUAAAGAACUAGAUAUUUUGCUCUUAGACCUACCAAGUAACAGCUUUGUUAGGAUUGCAUUUUUCUAGAUUUUUUCGUAGAAAAAUUACUGUAAUGAUUUGAUUUAUGUGAGGUAAAAAGGUGAUUGUGAAAUGUGUUCAUGGAAAACAUAGCAAUCUUUCUUUGAAAAAUUACUGUCCAAACAAGGCUAACUUGGUAAGCCUAAGAGCAAAAUAUCUAGUUCUUUAGAACUUGAAUUUGAGACAUGCACCAUUUCUUUUUUACUGUCUACGAUUUAUUUAAAGCUUUUGUCACAUUUGAAUGGUGAUGACAGAUAUUGCUUCUAAAGCAAGUAGGGCAACUUUGGCCACAUGUAAUUUGUAACAUUCAUUUGUUGUCUUCUUGCAACGUCAAGUCAUCCAGCCAUCUUGAUCGUAAUUGAUAGCACCCUCUAACAUAGUGGAUUGGCUAAAACAAGAAAUCUUGACUGCAAUUGAUAGCAUCCUAUAAUAAACGUACCAAACUUACUUUACCAAGUAACGAAUUGGGUGUUUUAGAAGCCAAAAGGAUAAUGGAUUAGGUUCCAAGAAUCACUUUUUUAUCUCUAUUUUGUCCCCUCUCACCCUUACUUUCUAUCCUCUCCCUAUUGAAGUUUUUUAACUACUUUUUUGGUUAUACAUGGAGGACUACAGUAAAGAAUGAGAGGGGAACGCUAAGAGCCCAUUUAAAUUACUAUUUUUUUUAAUUUUUAUAAAAAAUGUACCGUAACAAUUUAAUAUUUAUAAAGUAAAAAAAAUAAUUAAAAAGUAUAAAAGUUCUGACCUAAUUCUGACCCGCAACACGACUAAAACGACCCUGAAUACAACCAGUCCAGAAUCUGAAUGAAGCUACUUCUUGUUUUGUUUAUCUGUGCCAAAGAAGGAAAAAAUCUCAUUACGUCUCGAUUGUGUCCCUUUUUUGUACUAAAAAAUCGUUUGCUAAAAAUGUUUCCACAAAGCUUUCGGGGGUGGGGUAUACUAUGCAACCUAGGGUUGUCUAGGUCACAAGCUUUUCUUCUUUUUCAUUGUCUCUGUGUAAAAGUAAACAAGCUACUCCUUUUAAAUGGUAAAACGCUGGAAUGUAUAAAACAGGAAAUUUUCAAUAGCUUUUCUGUCCUGAAUAAUCUGGUUUAACAGUUAUCCUACCGUCCAACUUCUGUGAGGAGCUGGAUCCAACCUCAACUAGGAAUUUCUUUCCUGGAUCAGAAUGGCAUCCAACCAUCAUUUUCCCCCAGUUUCCUAAUGGAUAAAACAUAGUGGCGGCCUCAGUAUUCAUGAAACUUGAAUUGUAAAUAAAGAUUAAUAAAUUAACUGCAAAUUUACAGGCAGCCACAGACCAGACAAUCAAGGGAUUUACCAUUAGAAGCCAUUCAUUCAUUCAUUCAUUCAUAAAACUGGGUUUUCUGCAAAUCAUAUGAUAGUAAAGACCAUUAAAUGGAAGAUUUCCCCUUCUAUACAUAACUAACUUAAACCCUAUUAUACUCUUUUAAGGCGAAACAUCUCCGCUGGCCAUUAUUUACACUCUUUUAACACAUUGUCAGCUUCCAUUUGCUGCAGGUGGAAACCAAAUAGUACGAACUAAGGCAAUCUUAUUUACGGCAGCAGCACAUUUAGACAAGCUCCCACUCAGUUUCAGAACUAUGAACUGGAAAUGACUUGGUGUUAGACUCUGCAGGACGAUCGGUCAUUGCUCUCUCUGCACCCUCUUGAUUUGAGUUUUGCUCGGUGUAUCUCGCUGCAAGCUGCUCAUAUUCCUUCUUUUUUAACCUCAUCCUGGAGGAGAAAGCUUCGCGCAAUUUUUUCUACAAGAAGAAAUUUGUCCAGUCAGGGAAGAAAAGUUCACACAAGAAAUCCUUCAACUCUAACAGAUGAGAGAGAGAGAGAGAACCUUGUAGGAUUUGUGAUUGCCCUUCCCUUGAGGUAAAAAAUGAAGCUCAUCCCCCUCCACCAAGACACAUGUUUCCCCUAAUUUUGACUCAUCAAACGGCUCAAUAAUUUCCACAUCCGGGUCCACAGUAUCAUCAUUCUUGGCUGCAUUUACACUAUAGUCAUCCAAUCUUUCUGUCAAGCAUAGAGAAAGAACAAUAUUAGCAAAAGCAGAGACCUACUGAGGAAGAGGCAGGAAAGUCACUGGUACAUAAAUUUGGUGCCUAGGUUGCGUCAGCCCAUACUGUGCUUGGACAAGAUUUUUUUUUAUUGUAUCAUAAACACGUCUUCCAAUUACUUUGUUUAUAUCAAAUCACAAAAAGUGCUACAGUUAUCCUAAAAUUUUUUUCAUGAUCUUGCCUAUCCAAUUUUCUGGGGGAGAGAGAGAUAGAGAUCAUGAGAUUAUAUGAUUGUUUGUCGUGAAAAAUUUUCAGCCAAAAUGCACAAUAUAGCAGGAGUCCAAGUUCAGUCUCCACGUUGAGAAGACAACAGGUAAUCCCAUCUAGUAAUGCCAUAAUUGACUUCACUUUAGGUAAAAAUUGAUGCACUUCAUCUCACUUUGCCUAGAUGCAAGUCCUAGAAUGACUUAUAGAAAUGAUCCUCUCACACAAAGUUUAACCCUUUUCUGGACGCAAUAGACCGAGACCUUUAAUGAUUGAAUUACAUUCCAUCACUUGGAACUCGACUUUCCAAUAACUUAGCCAUAAGAAAGGUUGGAAUACAAUUUGGUUUUAUUAAUACCUUGGUGGGCCAUGAAGACCUCCUCCUCAACAGAUUUUAUGCUGUCUGUUCCAGUUGCAAUUGUCUUCUGAGUCUGGGAAACCACUGUGCUGUUUGUACAUGUGCCUACAGCUAAAGCAGCAGUUAGGGUGCGUCAAAUGCAGAAAUCAUAAUGAAAUAAGUGAAAGGACAAAACUGAAUCCAGUUUUAGAUGAUACCAGAGGACUCUGAUGAUAAGCCAUCAGAAGGAGAAUCAGCUUGCUUCUGCUCAGCUGAUACAACUGACACAAUUGUUUUAGCAGCGGUAGCUGGUGAAUUAAAUGAAGCACGAGACAUAGGCAGACUGGUAUCAUCCAUAGGUUUACAAAGCUUCUCAUUUGCAAUUCUGGAGCGUUCUUCAGCGCCAGCUGGUGGCGAUAAGACAUCAACACAGCCAGAGGCCAUUUGACAACUCUUUUUCAUUUGAGAAAAUGAGGACAGGUUUCUUAAAUUCUCUGAAAAUGGUGCAACUGGCCCAGUCACAGGUGGCAUAAAAUUUACCAUAGAAUUGCUUUUCCUACUGGCUACCGGACGUCUGUAAAGUCCGGUUUUACUUUUACCUGUAUGCACCAAGAGUAAGAGCUAUAACUUUCACCGUGAUGGAAAAGAAUGAAAAGAACCCUAUUCCGCCAAAAUUUUGAAAAAGAACAGAAAGUUCAAAUCUUUACCAGAAAUUACUUUAGACUCAUCACUUAAUUUCCAAUUGGUAUCUCUACCAUCUUUUUUAGCAUUUGCUUUCAGUAUCAUUUUGGAGUGAGCAUAAGGAUUCAAUGACAAGUCAGCAGCAGCCACUUUCACAGGAUCAACAUAUGAAUCUGAGUGCAAAUCUUUCAUCACUUCUGAAUAGAACCUCUUAACACUAGCACCAACAGUCUGGACCUGAUUUUCAACAUAUUUGACAGCAUCCUGUCAAAAAUUAAACCACUUAAAAUAAAAACACCCACACUUUGAGACUACAUACACUUAGAUUCGAUAAGACCUCCCAAGGCAAAGCACGCAUAGCACAUUAUUAGAUAAUCAAAUCAGUAAUUUUGUCUGUGAAAACCACCACUAACCAACUUCAUAAUGUAUCACCAAAAGCAAAGAUAAGAACAUAAGUGGCACCAGAGAUUACUUUAGAAUAGAAAAGAUAACUUGUAUUCACCACAAGUAAGGGCAUCUACCUCAUACAUAACCUCUUCCAUCUCCAGACACAUAGCUUCAAACUUGUCAUAUAUGUUUCCAAUCCAUGCUAAACCUUUUAAGUCCAUCAUGCAGUUACUUCAGCACGUCAAGGCUUUAAUGCUCAGCUGCAAAAUUCAACAAAGGACUUUUGUAAGAUUUACAGCAAGAGCUUGCCUAAUAGCAAGAAGCCAUCGGGUACUAAGACACAGUUUAUUAAUUAUUAUAGCAGCAUCCAUUGCAAAUUUGCUACCAAGUGACAAAACAGUAUACAAGCUGAUCAUCAAAAUUGAGCAUAAUCAUUAUAGCAUAAUGAACUCAAUCAGUCAACAAUUUUAGCCCUCUGAGUCAUAGUUCCAGUAAAUGUUCUUUAGUCCUACAAUGUACAGUUCCCUGAUGCUCAAUAACAUAAGUAGAAGGGUUGCAAGAACAAACUAGGAACCAACAUUCUAGCUAAAAUGGGGUAGAAAAAGUCCACCAAAAUACAUUUCAGGCAGAGGGCUAGAAAGAUUCAUGCACAACAAAGGUAUGGAAUAAUAUCAAGGUUGGUUGAAUGUUUGUGAUAAAAAUUCUUAGUAGUUCAACCUGAUGCAUUGUUCUAAGCUGCAUAUUCACAAUCUACAUGUAAAGAGAAAUUAAAAUUUAGAAAAAAGAGUAAUUUCAUCUAAGCAAAUCCUCCAAAUAUCCAUCAGAAAUAUAUCAUCAAUAACAUAUAAUUCGAGCAGUAAACCAGAGGAAAGAAAAUUUUCAGGGAAAAAUAGUUUUGGUAAAUGGUUAGCUGAGACAUCAAAGGAAAGAUCCUACACAUACGAAGAAGGAUGCUAGAUUCCUAAUUCAUAUUGCAAAAGCCCUCUCCAACUCAUGCCUGUCAAUCUCAACAGCAGAGGGCCUCUAAGGUAAUUAUGAAUUAAGACCUUCAAAAGUCAAGCAUUUUUACUAACUUCAUAUAAUUCCCAAAAAGCAAACAGAAUAUAGAGAUUUUCACAGCAUUCAUGGUGCAGAUUUUUUUUUUUUUGCAGAGAAUAUGACUGAAAUCUUUGCAGAAGAAGAAAGCAUAAACCUAAACUGUAGAAUUUGCAGCCAAUCUUUGGCUAAUUUGAAUCAUUCAUAACAACUACAAUUUUAUAAGCUAGUACUUUCCAAUGCUAUCAAUAGUAGGCUUCAUCAAGCAUGACUAAACAUGGAAGCAUCAGAAUGAAGAGUUCAAUUAGUCAGCAUAAUUAACUAGGGUUUAUCUUACUGCUUUCAAUUGGAAAUAAGACAGCUAUUCCCGAGGAUCUGGAACUACUCUAGUUGUUGGAUGUUUUUCUAGAGAACAAGACAAUUAUAUUUAUUUGCACGACCCCCUAAGCCAAAAACCCUAUCCUCAAAUAGACCAACUCCACAUUGAUCUGUCAAUUUCAGGAUAGACAGACGUGCUUGAGCUUCACAAUCACCAGUUUAAAUAAGGAAUUGAAAAGAAAGAAACUAGAGAUCAAGUUCAUCACCCAGCAAACAGAAUGGCCUAAAGUUGAUUCGUCAGAUUCUACAUCUUAAACACUAAAUUCCUGUACACUGCCCCCAUAUCUAUAAAUCUAACUAGACAGGUACUCAAUCAAAUAAACGAAACUGCAGGAUAUGAUGGUAUGCACAUAAGAUAACAGUAAGCAAAAUGAGGCUUUCUUCCGGUGAUGCUGCAACCCAUGACAAAGAAGAAACCCCAUAACACAUUACUUUGGCGUAUAAAAUUGGAAAUUUGAUGUCGCCUUGCAUAACAAACCUUCACCUUCUAUUAGGAAAUAUUGUCAGAAAAUUCUUUCCCUAGAUUAGAAUAUACUACUACUUCUUUCCACAUACAAGGAAUAAUUUGAUGCUUUCCAUGUUUCAGAAAAAAGUCAAUCUUUAUGCUUUCCCAUAAUCAUGUUCGUCUAAACCACCCUUAAACCCAAAUCUCCCCCGAAACUAUUCCAAACCCAUCGAUUAAUUCAUCAAACACAAGCAAGCAAACAUCCUAAAGCCACAAAAACCAGACAAAGAAAAACCCACCAGACCACAAACUUAUCAGUCAUCACAUGAUCAUGGCCACUCUCUCCCCCAAACCAACACCCCCCCCCUUCACCUUCUUCGUCCCUAGCUUCCGAAACCAUCCAAAUUUACAAAACAAAAAAAGGUACAGGAACCACAUAGCAACAGCUAAACAGCAGCUUCGACACGAAAAAAAAAAACAAUUUUAUAGUCGUAAACUCAAAAUUUUUACCAGAAGAAAUUACAGAAACACAAAAAAAAAAAGGAUAACCUGAUCAGAAGUUAGAAAUACGAGUUCAAAAAAGGAAAAAGAAUCCAAAAAAGGACAUACACAUGCUAGAUAUUUUAGAAACAUGCGAUUAAAGAAAGUGGUGAUGAUGAAUAAAGUUAAAGCAGCACACUUACAUACUUGGGGAAUACAGGGAGGCCCAGAAAGGAAAAAAGUAAUCUUUCUCUCUCACUUCUUUUUUUUUUCGGAAGAUAAUUAGGAAAGAUAAGCCAAGAAAAAGGUUAAGUUUUUAGCUUUGAAGAAAGAGAUGAUAAAUUGAAGUAUUAGUAAUAGGUCGUAACUUGGAACAGAGGUAUCACUAACAUAAAAUAGGGUAAGAGAAAGAUAAGUUUAAUUGAGUAGGAGAAUUAGAAACGUAUAGGUGGAGCUCACCUGGUUUCCUUGGGUAUGGGUUCUUGACACGUGUAUUCCUAGAAUAUACUUAAAGGUAAAAUGCUACCAACCUAAAACAUCUAUAUAUAUAUAUAUAUAUUAUAGUAAAGACUAAAGAAGGGCGAAUUUAAGAAGCGAGGAGGAGUCAGGGGAUCAAAAUUUCUACAUUUUAUGGUUUCAAUUUGAGUCAUUAGACUAAAAAAUUUAAAUACCUAGUAAGUCAUUAUUCUAAAAAUAUUUGGGUUUCUUUUUAUUAAUAUAAAUGUCAGUAUUGUCUUUUUUGCAUACUAAUAUUGUGGAAAAGAAUAAAAUUACAAUACAUGUUGGCUUUCUUUUACUUUUUCUUGUUAAUUCAAGAGUAGUUGUUCUUUUUGGGGCUAAAUAAUAUUCAUGGAAUAAACAUGUUGUGUUAUUGUGUUUUUUUUUUUAGAGUGUAAUCUAUCCAAAAUUACAAUUUUUUUUAAUUUUUGACAAGAUUAGGAUUGUAUUGUUCUAUUUACAUAGAGCAUAUUUUAUCUUUCAAAAUAGUAGUGAAGUUACCUAUGAUGUUUAGUGGAAUCACAACUUCUUGCAACUAAUUCCAUCUCGAAUUCCUUAUUCCUAAGAGUUUUUGCAACAAAACUUAAGAAAUUAAGUGAAAAAUUGCUUUUGAAAGAAGCGAAUUUGACCCCAAGAAAAAAGCAAAAAAAAAAAAGAAGAAGGGAAUUUGACCCAAAUAAGUGUCCCUCAAAAUAUAAGAAUCAGAAUUCAUUGCCAAGAAAAUUCUGCUUAUAGCGAUGCCCACUUACAAAGGAUCAACUACAAGGUCCCUGAGUCCAUGAUGUGAGAACCCUCAAAGUCCAACUCACUUUCUUUAACUUUUUGCCCUGUCUAUUCAAGGGUUGGUAAAUUAUCGUCAAACCGAAGGUAAUACAGAUUACUUGUAAUUGUAGCCCUUGUAAGAUUUACACUUUUAAGCUUUGCCUAGGCUACCAAUAAAUUUGACAAGAAAAAAAAAAGGAACAAGAAGAAGAAGAAACUUAGAUGGCACCCAAGUCAAUAGGCCGACUAAUGAUGUGGAAAUAAUGAAUGCUUUUGUCCCUUGACCUAUUAUCCAGCUUCCACUACUGUUUUCUCGACUGCCACCAGAAGUUUGAAGAAUUUCAUUACAAUUUCCAUCCUCCUACAAGCAUAGCGUCAAUACAGUUUCCUGUCACUAAUUCUUGGCGAAAAUCCGUUUUCUUUCAUUUUCAACCUUUUGGACAAAAUCCAAUCUGGAAGAGAUAAAGAAACUAUGAUACUUGACGUUUUCAGAUGGAACGUAUCCAUGAGAAUUAUGUUUGGAUAAAAUUCGCCUAGCAAGAAUCUAAGGAUAAGAUAAUGAUAACCAAUCUUGUAGACUUCAAUUUCCAAGGGAUCAUAUUUAUCGGAAAAAAAAUGAUAAAUGCAAAUAUGAUACAGAAGAACAGAUGAAGCAAAACCAAGAAAUAUAUACGAGAAUACAUUCAACAGAAAAGAUCAAAUCCAAACUUAAGAGAAACAAAGUGGUAUUAUAUUUCAAUGUCAACCAGCAGCUUGAAAAUCCCCAAAGUCAUCAUCUGGAAUGUCUUGUGUGUUUUGGUCUUCUGGAGGUUCUAAUUCUUUAGAUUGUUCUUGAGGUGAGACAGAGUCCUCUGCUGCUGAAGAUUCCUUUAGACUGAGUUUUGAAGGCAGCUCUGAUGGAGAUGUUUUAGGACUCACAACGGGCGAUAAUGGUGCUGGUGGUGGUUUGAUAGAUAUCACGGGCUCCUUUUUACUACCCUUCUCCUCCAAUGAGAGAUCAUUUAAGCCCUGUUCAAAAAACUUGGACCCAGAACUCCGACCACUUUUCUGUUGAUAAAAAGAGGGCUUAAACAAUAUUACAUGAUGGAGGGACAAAUUUACGUACCAAUUAACUCCUUCAAUGUUUGGAGAACUUACAUUUUUUAUCUGAAGUACAAGUUUUUCUCCUUCUUUUAAACUGUAAUCAACUGAUGAAGUAUGCUGAUGUUGCUGUUCCAUUUCUUCUGCAGUUUUCUUCUUGUUUAGGUACCUUUUAACAGAAAAAGCAGGCUAAAUUUGGUUAGCGUACGCAUGCAUGGGGAGGAUUAAACAAAGCUACUUUCAAGCCUUGUAAAAGUACAGAAAAUCAUGGUA